rnacentral:lncRNA from 1 species
UUUCACAAUCCCUAGGAAACAUCCCCUCCUCACACCAGCCAAUAGUUAUCCUUAGUUAAGAGCUAUAGUGUUCAGUGAUCACAACCCAGGAAGGCAGAGUGCAUGAAAUCCACCAUGGCUUGGUUUAAAGCAAACGCAGGCAGAGAUGUUAAUCCUGAACUUGCAAGUGAGAGGGAAUCCCCUUCUUUUAAUGUGGAAACUCUCACUAAUGUGCUGGAUGGAUCUGCAGAUGAGACACGUCUGCGGAGAUCAGUUGGUGAGUGUAACUCAUUUUAAUUAUCAUUAUUUAUAUAGCGCCAACAUAUUCUGCAGCGCAGUGAAUUACAUCAUUAGUGAAUGUUGUAAUUACCCUGCCUGUCUGCGUAUCUGAUUUUCAGCCCUCAGAACACCCAUGUGUUAAUGCAGAAGAUUACUUCCCAAGUUAAUGUUCCAGUUAGGCAACUCCUAUCACUCUUUGCAAACUACUCACUGAUGGGAGCUGUGGUAUGAUUAGUAGUGAGUUAAGAACAGGUAGAAUUGCCAUGGCAACAAAAUGUGGUGGUCAAUGCAAUCUGUUUGAGUGUAUUUUGUCAUUUCAAUAUCAAGCUAGGUUCCAUUACUAAAGGAUUCAUGGUAACAUUUCUAGGCUGUGAUUAUAGCCGCAUUGAAAAUCUUUUAAAUUCGUGAAUUUUGCAAUGUGGGUUUUACAACACUGUAAUCUGAUGUUUAAUAAAUAAUGCUACCAAGGUUAUUCAUUAAACAAGAAUAGAAAAGGAAAAUGGAGGCAUGUCAUUGCCCUGUGCUCAAGUAUAGAGUUUCUCUAAUUACAUAGAAACAUGUUCAAUAAACAGUGAUUUGAAGGUAAUGGAAGAUAUGAAAAAAAAAAAAAAUACCUCUACUAGAAGGUAGUAUGUGAUACAAUAAAGGGUCUUCGUGAUGAGCAGCUCAACACUUAAUGUAGGAUACCCUUUUAUCCACAAUACAUAAAAUAGUAAGUGUACGCGAAGAUACAUAAAAUGACAACAACAAAAAAAAACAAGGUUAACAAUAAUAGUGCAGAUGGUACAUAAAAGUUAUAAUCUUGUGUUAAAUGUAAAGCUAGAACCACUUUUUUAUUUUCUAUAGCAAUAUAUAUAUAUAUAUAUAUAUUUGUUAAACUAAUUUGCAUAUGCCCACCCAGAAUCCUUUGCGGUUGUAACAUCACUGCUGAUUUGGGAUUUCUGUGGGAAAAGCAAGUCUUAUGGCUUGACUGGUGUGCAGAUUUUUGUUUAGCAUUGUAUUAAUUAUCCACAUACUUCAGGUGGAAGGGGUUUUCAAUCACAAUUUUUCCCCACCAUAACCUAUUUAGAUUUUGCUUCCCAAGCACUACCAAGCCUCAACAAGCAAACCAGUAACCAACCUCAUGCUGAAGAGUUGCAUUAACAACGAAACAGCUGUCCAUGAGUGGUUCACUGGUUUUGCAUCUUUUCCUAAAUUGUGUUCCAAGUAGUUGUAUACUGCAAACACAGAUUAAAAGGAAUCCAUGUUUAAAAUGGAAUGAGGCAAAAAUGUGAUUCUUUGUUAAACUAAUUUGCAUAUGCCCACCCAGAAUCCUUUGCGGUUGUAACAUCACUGCUGAUUUGGGAUUUCUGUGGGAAAAACAAGUCUUAUGGCUUGACUGGUGUGCAGAUUUUUGUUUAGCAUUGUAUUAACUAUCCACAUACUUCAGGUGGAAGGGGUUUUCAAUCACAAUUUUUCCCCACCAUAACAUAUAUAUAUAUAUAUAUAUAUAUAUAUAUAUAUAUAUAUAUAUAUAUAUAUAUAUAUAUAUAUGUGUGUGUGUUUUAAUCUGUAAUACAUUUUUAAUAUUAUUCCAACAAAGUCCUCUGAAGCCUUAGGGGAAUCUUCAUUGGGGUGGUGACAUCCCCAGAAAAUUGGCACUUUGCAUAUUACCCUUUGGAUUUGAAGGCUCUAACAAAGGUGAGCUUAAUACUUCCCAUUAGAUUUAAGUUCACCACUUUACAAUACUACACAUUGGUUGUUUUUUCUUCCUAUAUCCCCUGAGGAGGAGACGAUAAGGUGAGAGUGGUGGUGUGUUGAUGCCCUAAUAACAAAAAGGUCCAUUUUACGGAGCCUAUACUAUAAAGGCUCCAGAACAUGAGUGUAGCUUUUCGUUUAACACUAGAUUAUAACUUUUUUAGACCAUCUGCACUAUUAUUUUUUGCCUUGUUUUUUUUGUCAUUUUAUGUAUCUUCGAGUACACUUCAAUACUUUGCGGGGGUAAACUUGGUACCCAACGGGCCAGACAUUAUUUCUGAGCGCUACACCAUUAGGUAUUUUAUGCCAUAUUUUCUUUAAACCACAAUAAACAAGUUGGAGAAAUGGGGAUAGUCUUGCGUUUUCCCAUUUGCAAGUCCAGUUUCCAUUUGCCAAAAGCAUAUGCAAUGUGUUUACUAAAAUUUAAUAUAUGCUAUAAAAAUGUGACAAUAUUUAGUCCAAUUUGAACAGGUGCCUUUUUAACCUUUAAUAUGCUUUUUAAUUUUCUUAUUAUUUUUUUUGUUUGUUUAGUGCUUGCUGUUAUCAGAGACCCUGCUUUCAGCCGAGAGAAUCUUUAUUUUAAGACACGACAAGAGCGAUAUGAGGGAGCCAUCCGAAAUUCUUUCCACCUGAGAAAGAAAAUGACCGAAUACGGUUGGACCACUGAUGGACCAGAGAUUUCAUACGUUUACAGGUUAUUUGCUCUAUUUUGUUUUAACUGGUUUUAUGACUGAUAUUGAUACUAUGGAAAUUGACGAGGCGCCGUCACUUCUUAAAAACGUUACACCAGUGUAUAAAAAGCACAGAAAAUCACUUAGAGCAUAUCAUAAAGAAGGUUAACACAAGUUACAUUUUCUUUUAAAUGUACAUUAAGGAUUUUUCAAAUGACAUCACACUUGGCUCAGUCUUGGUACAGCCAGGGCACACGAUAAAAAUGUGAACCAUUGUUCCAUUUCUGCUCUUUUCUGUAUGCUCUCUCAAUGACGACUAACAAAAGGACAGAGCCUACAAUGAUUGACAGGGAGCUAAGACAGGAAUAAAGACGUGGGAAUUUAUAAAUUUAAAGGGACAAUAUUGUCGUCACCAAAACAACUUUAGUUUAAUGAAGCAGUUUUUGUGUAUAGUUUAUGCCUCUGAAGUCUCACGGCUCAAUUCUCUGCCAUUUACGAGUUCAAUCACUUUUGUAUCUGUUUAUGCAGCCCUAGCCACACCUCCCCUGGCUGUGACUGACACAGCCUACAUUUAAAAUAAAAUUGUUUCAUUUUCAAAUCAGAUGUAACUUAAACGUUUUUAUCCACUGCUCUGUAAAUGGAACUUUAAUUACACUCAAGAAACGCAUGUAGGCUUUACAAUCUAUUAACAGAGCAAGAGAUAAAAAAUUCUAAAUUAAACAGAAUUUGCAAUAAAGGAAGUAUAAACAUUAGAUAACUCUUUACAGAACAUUUUUAGGAAAGCUGUGUAAGUCACAUGCAGGGAGGUGUGACUAAGGCUGCAUAAAAAAGUGGUUCAACUCCUAAAUAGCAAAGAAUUGAGCAGUAAGACUACAGGGGCACGUACUAUAUACACAAUAAAAUGCUUCAUUAAGCUAAAGUUGUUUUGGUGACUAUAGUGUCCCUUUUAAUUUAAUUUUCCACUCUUCAUAGAUAUGUUUACAAGGAUCAGUAAAAACAUAAUACUAAAAAAGUGACAUAGUAAAGUAUAGCCAAAGUAUGGUUGAAUAUAGUAUACUUAAUACUGUGCAGCAUACAUAUUUUUUUUUUUUUAUUUUAACUUCCAUAAUGUACUUUUUAACACAUACGUACCUAAACAAACAUUAUAUUUUUACAAAUAUCUUUCAUAAAUCAGUAUAUAAAUAAUUUUCUCUGUGUUAUGUGGUUUUGGAUGCAUUUACAUAGUGAUUUUUCAUGUUUUAACAUCUGCAGAUUCCAAGACAUUAAUUAGGGUGUGGUUAUAGUUUAAUAUUGCAAGGUACAUGUCUGAUUAUAUAUUAUGUAUGUGUAAUGAAGCCAAAGUUGUUUUUUAGUUGGAAACAAAGCUCACUUUCUAUGCAGAUGGCUGUCACAAUAUACAAAACUGUAACCAGUUCUAAAUUAAAAUAUUACUGCGUUCCGUUAUUAUAAGGAUACAAAUCCCAUAAAGUAUAUGUGAGAAAUUAAAUUCAAGAAGGUAGUUACAAAACAUCUAAGUUGUUAAGGGACACUAUAGUCACCCAGACCACUUCAGCUCAAUGAAGUGGUCUGGGUGCCAGGUCCCCCAGGUUUUUACCCUUGAGAUGCAAACAUAUCAGUUUCACAGAAACUGCUAUGUUUACAGGUGGGGUUAAGCCAGCCACUAGAGGAAGACAGACACUAGAGGUGCAUCUGCGAUGCUGGAGGCAUAUUAUGCGUCCAUCACGCAGAGCGUCCAUAGAAAAGCGUUGCGAAAUGCUUUCCUAUGGACACUUUGAAUGCGUGAGCGGCACUUGCCACGCAUGCAGCUGCGCGGACGUCGGCAGAGGGAGCUGACGUCGGCGAGGUAGGAGAGGUCACCGGCGCUGGAAUAAAGUAAGUGGCUGAAGGGGUUUUAACACCUUCAGUGCCACGGGAGGGGGACCCUGAGGGUGGAUGUCCCCCAAGGGUUAUAUAGUGUCAGGAAAACCACUUUAUUUUCCUGACACUAGUGAUCCUUUAAUCAACUUACAGAAAUGAACACCAAAAUGCACGUUUGCAGUAAACCCACCCAUACGGACGACAUUGUGAAUAAAUGAUAGAUUACAAUGCAGAGAAAUGAUUGAUAGGAGCGAAAUCUGUUCUAUCUCAUGGUGUUAUGGAGCUUUGUGGUAUAGGAGCGUAAUUAGUUUGGUCUGUGUCGUUUCCUCGUAGCAGAGCUUUUCGAAGAAGGUUAGCUUUGUGUUUGCUGCUAUUUGGAUCUCUGGUGUACGGGUGAAGUCCCUGCAGGUACCAGAAAUAGUCCCUAGUUUGUAGUGGGGCCUUAGUGUUGAGAUGUUCAAAGGUGACUAUGUGAUUGUUUACGUAUAGGGGUAGGUAUCGUUGCAGUCCUGUGGCUUCUAUACCUCUGAAGUCCCUGGCUGUUAGUCCCAGAGGGAACGCUCGGUUCCUGAGGACUGGGGUUAGAGGUGAGGGAUCCUUUCCCAGUACAAAUUUACCCUUUACCUGGUCCCAGAUUUGCAGGCUGGGCAAGCUGUCCUCAAGAUAGGUGCUUGGGACACUUUAAUUUUACGAAAGGUUAAGUAACUUAAGAAUAGGUGUUUACACAACUAAAAUGUAAUUUAGAACAAGAACUUAUUUACACUGACUGAUUUCUAAACACAUUUAUUGUUGUUUAAAGACACAUUACUGUGAGAAUCAUUCUUGUGUUAUAUGGCUCAGGCAGCAUUGUAUUUAGCGCAAGGCUGACAAGGCAUUUGGCUUGGUCAGCACUUUCAGGGGGUGGCAAAUAAAUCCACCCUCAGCCGCCCUGGCAGAUGCCUUGCCAGUCUCUUGUCCUGAGAGGCCCAGGAGCUGGCAGGCUGGCCACCUUGGGGACUCCUGUGACUGGCAUCUGCUAAGGCAGGCAUCUCUCCUGAGCUCUCCCCUGCUCAGCUCCCUUGUGCGCACUACAGUGAUCCUGGAGCCAGAAUAUGACGUCACUCCAACCCCAGCAUCAUUAAGAGGUACGCGAGGGAGUUGAGCAGGAGAAUCUCAGCUCCCUCACCGCCUGCCUCCACCAUUCCCUUGUCUGCUGAGCAGGAGGAUCAGAGCUCCCUCACCGCUUGCUGUGCCUACAGAGCUGCAACCAGCCCACUAGACCCCAGGGAAGAAUCCACUCCAGCACUCCCAAAGGUAGGAACGCAGGGUGGAUUGAAAUAUGAACAAAACAAACAAAAAUUGUAAGUGCGCUAGUGUGUGUGUGUGUUAGUGAGUGUGUUAUUGUAUGUGUCUGUUAGUGAGUUAGAGUGUGUGUCUGUCAAAGAGAGUGUGUGUGUGUAUAUAUAUGUGUGUGUAUGCGUGUGUCAAUGUGUGUAGCGGUCACAGAGUGUGUCUCAGUGAAUGUGUGUUUGACACUGAGUGUGUCAUUGAGUAUGUGUAUGCGUCUGUCAGUGAGUGUGUAUGCGUGUUUUGUCAGUGAGUGUCAGUGUAUGUGUGUGUCGGUAACUGUGAAUGUGUGUUUCAGUGAAAGUUUGUGUAGGGUAAACAGUAUGUGUUACAAUGACUGUGUAAGUGAGAGUAUGUCAGUGCAUGCAUCAGUGAGGGCACGUGACUGUCAGGAAUAGAAAUUUGGAAGGGGGAGGGAGGUACCCAAGUUUUGUCAUGCCUAGGGCAGCACAAAAACAGAAUACACCACUAGACUCUGGCACACCAACCAUAUGGGGCUUCAAGAAGAGAGGGACAUUAUUAUAGAAAAGAGGACCAGAGGGGUUUAUGACGAAAAUAGGGACUAUCCCUCCUAAAUUAGAACAAUAAGGAGGUAUGCAUUUUCCUCACUCUGUCUUAAGAGACACAGGUAAUUAUUUUUUCUUUUAUUUCUUCUUUUCCAGCAGCCAAACCAGCUGCACACGGUGAAAAGUCUUAAAAGGACAAAAUAGGCACCUAGACCACGUUAUCUCAUUUAACUGGCCUUGGUGCAGUGCCAUUGUCUGUUUAACCCUGCAAUGUAAAACAUUGCAGUUUCCAAAAAACUGAAAUGUUUACAUUGCAGGGUUAAGUCCACCUCUAGUGGUUGUGUUACAGACAGCCAUAAGAGGCAUUUCCUGGUGCCUAACAGAGUUUUUUUUUUUUUUUUUAAACCAGGUAAAUACAUGUUUUUAUUUGCGAAACAAAGUUUUACUGGUUUUACAAAAGACAAAAAUGCAAUGCACAGAGUUUUUUUUUUUAAACUUUUUUAUUGAGGUAUUAAAAGCAGUACAAUGAGGUCAGCAGCACAAUGAGGUCAACAAAACAACAGGUUCUUUUACAGGUACAAGAACAUCAACGUUAUUGAUAGUGGGGCGAGACCAGUGAAGUUCCCAUUUUUGUGUUGUAUAGGGGGGGGGGGUUUGGUGUGUGUAGGUGAGGUUCAUACGGCUUUGACGUCUGUUAACCUAGCGGUGCAAUACGGGAGGUAUGCCAGAAUACAAUGCAUGUUAGAGAGUGCAGGGUGUGGGAUGAUGUUCCAGCCGGUCAUCGGGCAUUGUGUGUAGGUGCACGCUGUUAUCCUGUGGCAGGAGUGAAGCAAUAGUGCAUGGGUGAGGGCACUGAAUGGUGGCAUGUUUAGGUGCAUAGCAGUUUGGGGGGUCUAUACGGCCUAUCAGCCUGGGAGGUGGGCUAUGCACGAGGGAAGACAGGGGUUUAGGUCUAGCUGGAGAAGUGGUAUCAGACAACUUGUCCCUGAUUUCCUUGGAGGAAUUGGAGCCAAGGGGUCCAGGUAGUGAGGUAUUCGUCAUAUUUGAGAGUGAAGGAGUAGGAAAGUUCCUCCAUUAUUCUAAUGGAGUCAACCCUGGCGAUCCAGGCUCUGAUAGUUGGGGCUGUAGUCUGUUUCCACAUUGUGGGGAUUAGAGCGUUGGCAGCCGUUAGGAGGUGGUUGAGUAAGAUGCGAUUGUGUUUGUUUAGUGGUUGGGGGUAUGAUGGGAAUAGCAUGGUUUCAGGAGUGUCGGGAAGGUUCACGCCAGUGAUGGUGCGUAUGAGGUUGGCCAUCUGUCUCCAGUAAUCCUGGAUUACGGGGCAGAGCCACCAGAUAUGUCCUGAGGUUCCCUCAGUUUGUUUGCAUCUCCAACAUGUUUUGGGUGUGUUAGGGAAGAAUCUGUUGAUGCGAGUCGGCGUGUAGUGCCAUUUGGCAACUCUCUUGUAGUUGCUUUUGUGGGUGCUAUUGCUCUUGGACGUAUGGAAAAUGUUGUGGAAGAUUUUGUGCCAGUUUUUAGCCGGUAUUUGUGUGGACAGUUCUUUGUCCCAGUGUGUGGUGUAAGUUGACAGGAUUUCGUCCUGGCUGUGGCGGAUUGUUUUGUAGAAGGAUGAGAUUAGUCCCUUACGUAGUGUGUGGUGGGAGCACAGUAUUUCGAAAGGCGUGGGAUUUCUGUGUCCCUGGAGGAGUAUAGGGUCCGGGUGUAGGAAGUGUGUAAUUUGCGCGUGUCUAAAUCUAAGCAUGCUAGAGGGUUCGGCAUUGGGGGUGAGGUCCUCUAGUGGGAUGAUCCCUUUGUCUUUGCGGACAUCCCCUAGAGUGAGUGUGUGGGUCUGUUUAGGGAAGCUUUGGAGAGCGAUUGGGUUAGAGCCUGGCAUGAAGGCUGGAUUGUCGGUGAGUGGGUAGAGCGGAGACGUGUGUGGAGCUAUAUAUUGGUCCCUCCUUAUGUUAUGCCAGGUUCGUAGGGUAUGAGGGAUUGUCGGAUGUAGCUCUGAGUUGUGUGUUGUUAUGUUGGGCUUUUUUCCUAGCCAGGGUGCCAGGUGUAUUGGUGUUGAGAAGAAGCUGGCUUCAAUCCUUACCCAUUGUGUGUCGUUACGGGGGUGUGCCCAUUCGUAUAUUCGUGAAAGUGUGAUAGCCUUGUGGUACGCCUCCAGGUCAGGGAGACCUAGGCCCCCUCUCUGUUUGCUUUUGGUGAGGCAGUCAUAUCGGAGUCUGGGGGGGUUGUCAGCCCAUAUGAAUGUUGUAAACGUCCGCUUAGCUUGUGCGAAGAAUGAGGUAGGAAUUUUGAUGGGGAGGGUUUGGAGCAGGUAGAGAAAUUUGGGGAGUACAUUCAUUUUGAGGAUGUGGGUCCUGCAAAGCCAUCCGAAUUGUGGCCUGUUCCAGGCCUUAAGGUCUGCCGCAAUCUUAGCAAGGAGAGGGGGAAAAUUGAUGUCGUAGGUGCGGUCUAGGGAGGUAGUGAGGUGGACCCCAAGGUAUUUGACCGAAUCUGAGGGCCAUUGGAAUGGGUAUGUGUUGCGGAGUAGUGAUCGGGUGUUGUGGGAUAUGUUAAGGGGGAGUAUCUCGCUUUUGCUAACGUUGAUUUUGUAGUUGGAGACUUGGUGGUAUAGGUCAAUUUGUUGCAUGAGGUGGGUCAGUGAUGUCACCGGGUUUGAGAUUGUGAACAGAAGGUCGUCAGCAAACGCUGUGACCUUGAAUUUGCUUCGUGCUAUUGUAAGGCCCGUUAUAUCGGGGCAGUCCCUAAUUCCCUGCAGGAAUGGUUCCAUUGUGAGAAUAAAUAACAGGGGGGAUAGGGGGCAUCCUUGCCUCGUGCCGUUGGUUAUUUGAAACACGUCCGAAAGUUGGCCAUUAACCCUGAUCCGUGCUCCUGGUUUGGAGUAAAUGGCUGAGAGCCACCUGCUCCAGUUUGGGCCGAAACCUAGCGCUUGCAAUGUCAGUUUAAGCAUAGUCCAGUCCACCCUGUCAAAUGCCUUUUCGGCAUCUAUGGUAAGUAUGAGGCUUUGGGAUUGCGCCGAUUUGGCGGUGUAAAUGAGGCUAAGCAGUUUCGUUGUAUUGUUUUUUGCCUUGCGACCGGGCACGAAACCGGAUUGAUCGGGGUGGAUUAGCCCCUUGAGUAGCGGUUGGAGUCGUUCGGCUAGGAUCUUUGUGAAUAUCUUAAGGUCGCCGUUAAUCAGAGAGAUGGGGCGGUAGCUCCCACAUUCUUCGGGGUCUUUCCCCGGUUUGUGUAUGAGGGUAAUGUGGGCUUCUAGGGAUUCGGUUGGGAGAUUAUGCCCGGAUGUGAGGGCGUUAAAUGCGUCUACGAAUGGAGUUUUAAGGACACUGACGAACGUUUUAUAGUAUUUAGCUGUGAAGCCGUCCGGUCCUGGGCUUUUCCCUAGGGGGAGUCGUUUAACUACUGCCGUGAAUUCUUCAGGUGUCAAGGGGCUGUCGAAGGUUUGUCUGAUAUUCGGGGGGAUAGUAUGGGUGAUCCUCGUGGCUAGGAAAUUGGUCACAUCCUCACCAGAGGGCGGGGUUUGUCUCAGGUUGUACAGGCCUGUUUAAAAAGUAUGGAAUUCCUUAAGUAUGUUUGGUAGGAGGUGCGUGCGUGUGCCGUCUUUUUGUUUGAUCGUGGUGAUGUAUGUCCGUUGGUUGGUUUGUUGGAGUUCUCUCGCUAGUAACCUACCACAUUUUCCUCCUUGUGUGUAGUAGGUGUGUUUGGUGCGAAGCAGCGUUCGUUUAACCUUGGAGUUAAGAAGUGUUUGCAGUGUCGUGCGUUUGUCCACUAGUUGUUUGUAUGUGUCCAGGGACAUGUUUUGUUUGUGGGUUUGUUCUAAUUGGCGUAUGUCCACUAGUAGGUCAGCUGUCUGCGCUUCUCUCUGUUUUUUGAGUUUGAAAGCUAGCGCUAUAAUGUGGCCCCUUAGUACCGCCUUGUGGGCCUCCCAAAUGAUUGGUGGGGGGGAGACUGUGGGCUUAUUUUCCUCGAAGUAGUGCUGUAAUGUGUCAGUGAGUGAUGUAUUGAUGGUUGGGUUGUUUAGUAGGGUGUCAUUCAGUUUCCAUUGGUUGCGGUUGGGUGUCAAUAAGGGGACCUGAACAACCAGUGACAAUGGUGCAUGGUCCGACCAGGUGAUAGGGCCAUAGUUGCAGGACUGGAUUAGGUGUAGGUGCCUGUGGUGGAGAAAGAGCAUAUCUAGUCUAGAAUAGGUAUGUUUUACCGAGGAGUAGUAAGAGUAAUCCUUGGUGUGUGGGUGGGUGAUCCUCCAGCUGUCAAACAGGCAGGCUUUAUCUAGUAAUUGGGUCAUCCUGAGUCUGAUGUGGGCGUUGUACGAUGUGGACAUGGAUGUGGUGUCUAGGUUCGAGUCCAGGGACAUGUUUAGAUCCCCUCCCAUUAUCAGGAUACCUUCCAUGUGUUUUUCAAUUUUGGUAAUGUAUUUCGACAGGUGCGUGCCUUGUUUGGCGUUGGGUAGAUACAUGUUGGCAAAUGUCACCACAGUGUUGCCUAUCUUACCUUUCACUAUGAGGAGCCUACCAUUGGGGUCCGCAUAGUGACUUAUGUGGGUGUAGGGUACGUGUGAACCUAUAAGGAUGGCUACCCCUCUAGUCUUGGCCUCUUUGUAGCACCCAUAGUAUCCUGUAGGGUAGUGGCGGUUACGAACUGUGAUGGUUGAGCCCAAUUUAAGGUGGGUUUCUUGGAGGAAAGCUAUGUCUGCCUUUAGGCUGCGUAGCUCUCGGAGGGUCAGCGCUCUUUUCAUGGGGGAAUUGAGGCCCCUGAUGUUGAGGGUGACUACUGUAAGGCUGGCCAUGUUGACUGCAGGGGGGGGUGUCAUGUUGUGGUGGUCUUGAGUGGGUAUGUGGCAAUCAAAACGAAGUAAAAACAGUAUUAACAAUAUAACAGUGAAAGAAACUAUAUACAAAGCAGCUCUUACACUUGUAGAGCUGGAAGUUGGGGUGUUUUGAAAUGUGGAGUCAGUCAGCCUUGGUUGACGGUGGCUUUCCCUUUGGUGGCUAUUAAGUCCAGGGGAAGUUGAGUCGGCACCGCUUAGGCUUUAGGUGACUCUCCACUUAGUUGUAGAGUAACCGAAUUAGUUCAGUGUGGGGGGGGGUUUGGUGAUGUAACGGUACGUCUUUCCAUAGGGAGAGACGGGCAAUCCAUGGUGUGCUAAAUGGUGAUUUGGAUUGGUAAAUCGGGCUUGGAGGUGUGUAUAGUUUAUGGGACCAUUCGGUGUGUACCGGUCGCAUCAGGUGUGGGCAUUGGGGCGCUCAAUGGCUAGGGUCGGAGUGGCUCGUUAGGGCCGGUCCGGUACCUGGGCCAUAGUUAGUGCGCGAAUACCAUCUUCCAACUCUGCAAGGACUUAAGACUUACAGCACAGUAUUAUGGUUAGGAUAUCAGCACAGAAAACAUUUGGAACAUACUCAUAAAACAGUCAUCAUAGUUCCUUCAGACAUUACGCAAUUCGGUUCAACUCUACCCAGAAGCAUACUAGGAGCCUGUCAAGCCUCGGGAAGGGUUGAAGGGUGGGGGGAGGAAAUAGAGAGGGGUGAGAGGGGAAGGGGUGCAUGAAGGUGGGAAGGGUGGGGGGGAAGAGGUUAGAGGAGACAAGAUGUGCUCAAACAUUGUAAACCAACUGAAGAGUAAGAAAGAUACCCGUCCGAAGGUCUUCUACUGGACUUCCCACCGGCAUGUCAUUGCCGUUCAGCAUGCAGAGUACCCAAAGUUUGUGGGGUCGUGUGUAGGAGUCCGUACCGCGGUUAAGGUUAAGUCCUGGAUUCGUAUCAGAGGCAGUACGAUGCUAAAGUGGAGUUUGGUGGGAUCUCUGGUUCUGUUACGGAGUGGGAGAGCUGGUCCGUCUGUUGUAUCGUUGGGGAUGCUAAAAUGAUCCUUUGCAGAGAGUGUGUGUAGGAAUCUUGGCCUCCGGGGUAAGAUGCGUCAUUUUAGUGGCCCAUGGUGGUGGGAGUCCAGGGAAGUGCGUGAGGCUUGUUCAUGCUUGUGAUCCAAACUGGGCCAGGUUGAGGCUGGCAAUGAGGUCAGUUCUUUGAACAGUGUCUCAGUUGUCCAUGUUCGCAGGUUGGGUCCUGAAGUCUUGGUAGGGGUAAGUGGCGUCCGGUAGCGAUGGUAUGGAGCGUUCUUUAUUGGGCGGGGGGUCCUGUUCUCGGUCUGUGUCCCCCUGGGUGAGUGGUUUGGUCGUUGUAGCGUCUCUUCGACGGGGUUUGUCCUCUCAGUCGUGGGGCAUUGUGCUGCGGAGGCUGGUGUAACGGACCAUACCAGUCAGGGAUAUGGACUUCUGGCAGGUCAAGGGCUGAGGUAAAUGUUUGUGUAUCUUCGGCUGAUGAGAGGGUGGCAGUGACCCCGUUGUGUGUUGCUGUGAUGGCGAGGGGGAAUCCCCAUCUGUAGCGUAUAUUCCUGGAUCUUAGGAGGUCAGUGAGUGGCUUCAUGACCCGUCUUGCUUAGAGAGUCAUCCAGGAUAGGUCUGGGUAUAUCUGUACUGGUCGCCCAUGGUACAGCAGUGGUUGGGAGGUCUGGCGGAGGCUCCUUAGGAUGUCCUCUUUGAUGCUGUAAUAGUGCAGCCUGCAGAUCACAUCUCUGGGGGAGUCCCCCCCAGGGCUCCUGGGUUUGAGUGCUCUGUGCGCUCUGUCUAGCAGGAUGGGCAUUGUUGUGUCUCGUUGGAGGAUUAGGUUAAAGAGUUCUUGCAGUGUGGAGUGGAGGUCUUCCCCCUCAGCCUCAGGUAGGCCUUUAACCCUUAAGUUGUUACGGCGCCCUCUAUUGUCCAGGUCGUCAAGUGCUCUGUAUAUAGCUGCCAUUUGUGUGUUAUGAGCUGUCACUGUACUUUGCAGGGCUUGUAAUUGUGUGCAUGUGCAGUCAUGUUCAUUUUCUAGGGAGUUAACCCUGUCACUGACCUGUCUGACUUCUGUGGAGAUGUCAUCCAUCUUCUUUUGAAAGGUCACUUCGAGUUUCUGCAGCAUAGUAGCCAGAUCCUGCUUGGAAGGGAGAUUCCUGAGUAGUGCUUUCAAAUCUUUGUCUCGAUCAAUGUCAGACGUGAGAGAGAAGCUGUCUGAUGCCGCCGGGCUGGAGGGCCCUGAGGAGUGCUCCGCCGGGUCGUCCGUCGCCCUGAUCCUUGAAAUAUUUAGUGAGGUUGCUGGAUUUCGCCACGGAGUGUUUGCCCGCCGUGUUAGGGGCUGUUGAGAGGCGUUUGGGGUGUCCCAUGUUGCAGGAGGUGCCCGAUGGAUGCGGAUUGCCCUGAGUCUCUUUCGGAGCUCUGCUAGCAAGCGUCCAUUCGCGCUCGUGGUUAGCUCCGCCCCAUCGCCUAACAGAGUUUUACUCCAUGAGAGUACAUUUGAAAUCUACCACCGGGGGGAUAGUAAAGUACUAUUUUCACAGCUUGUCUAUUUGUACCUGUAAUCCUCCACAAUUCACAUUUAUAUUUUGCAAACAAAACUUUAACAGCUAAAGUUGUCACCUCUUGUCUUUGGAUGUUUUCCACUCUAAGUAAGUAAUUCCGAGCAAAAAAAGUUUGAUGGACACCUUACACCAAAGUGAGAAUUAUCAGCAAUUCAAAAUGAAUCUCAAAUUUAAGGUUAAAGUAGUCAAGCAUGAAAUUUUCUCAGCCAAGUCAGCUAUGCUUCCAGUGUAGUUACUUUGGCCUUAUAUUUGACAUUCACUGUGAAUUCCUGACAGAUCACACUAAAACUGUCUGAUACUCAGAACUCUGUAUCUUGUAUGUUAUUUUCUGCCUAAUUCCGUUUACUAAUUUCCAUUUGUGUCUGAUUACAGAUCACUUUCAGGAGAAUUGGCUCUUAAUGUCCACGGUGUCUUUUUAAAGUCUGUUAUGGCGUUGGGCACAGAUGAACAAAUUGCAAAGUGGGCCGUACUUGCCAGUAAUUAUAAUAUUAUAGGAACCUAUGCACAGACCGAGCUAGGACACGGUACGUUAUGUUUGCUUGUUUACCAAGUACAUAUGUUUAACAGCAGAAGAAUCAAACACUUUUUUUUUUUUUUUUUUUUUUAAAGGUCUUGUGUGUUUCAGAAAAUACAUUUUUCUUGGGGGGGAAAAAAAAUAAAAAAAUAAAACCACUUAAACCAUACCCCACAACAUUGGUGUCCUAGGAAUCAGGAUGCCAGUGGGAUGGGUAUAGAAGGGUGCAGGUUAGUUAUGCAAAUUGCAACAAUGAGGAUAAAAAUAAUUGGCAGGUCAGCCAACCACACACUGUUUCAGCUGUCUCUGAAUGAUCUAAGGAUAGAGCAUGUGCAUUGAGAAGCCUGACUGACUGAAAGUCUAUGUCAGGGAAAGCGUGGAGGGCUGCCAAAUCUUGCAGACAGGUCACAGCUGUUUGCAAGCAUUUAUUUUACAUAUAUACUCCCAAUGUAAACAUGGAUUUAUCAAUGGAGUGUCCCUUCAAGUUAUAAACUGCUGAAAUAGCUUAUUCAAUCAUCAUUGGCAACACAAUUGUUAAAACAUAUGUAAAUAUUUGAUUCCAUAUUGAUGUAAUUUAAAGGGGUAAUAUCACCCCAAUAUUAAUAUUCUAAUAAAUCUCACAAUAUUUGUAAAGACACCCACAGUUUAAUACAGCCAUAAAUUCUUAUACAAAAACGUAUGAUGUUUUCUCUAUAAACUCUCAGCAGAGCUGGAUUACCCAUAAAAUGGAUAAGAUUCGCCAAGGGGUUAGACAGGAGUUUUCGGAACUAUGAAUUUCUAUAAAUUUGCUUGUUCCGAUUUAUUUUCCAUAUAUGAAGAAUGAAGAGAGGGCUCUGAGAUGUAAUCUACCUAAGGUUUUUUUUGUGAUCUUAGUCUUAAGGAUCUCAAUUUAUUAUGAUGGGCUAUAUCUAAAGUUUUUGCUUUCAUUUUGCAGAGAGUAUGAACAGAUGUCAUGAUUGAGAAAGCUCUUUUAGUUUCCAUCUGACUGCUAUUUCUGAUUAAAUAAUGUUCCAACAAGGUAGCAAUAUGCAUAUUACAACUGUGCUGCUAAUGUUUUUUUACAUUAAUGUAGGCUGUACUUAAAAGCAAACUUCAAGCACCAUAACAACUAUAGUACCGUAUAGUGGUUCUGAAUCUAGGAGUGCCCUGGUAGUUAAACGGUUUUGGAAAAAUAGGACUUCUUACCUGUGGCUGCUCCAUGCAUACAGAAGAUCUGGAAUGUCAUGCUUAGAAGACUUUGUUAGCUCUCCUGAGCUAGCUCAUUGGCUGAGAGCAUCAGCUGUGUCUUUGGUCAGGAAGAGAGCUUCUGGUUUUCCUGUAGCUCUAGAGAAGUUAAGAGGUGGCACUUGGUGGACCCCAGUUAAGAAGUCAAACUGUUAAAAUCAACAAAAUAUUUUCUCCAGUAAAAUGAUGGGUUCAAUUGCAGUGAGUUGUUUUGUUUAUUUUUUCCAUUAAAUAUUGUAUAAAAUAUUCAACAGAUUUAUCUUGACCUUUAAUUUUCAGGAGAGGCAAUAUCAAUGGUAUGAUUAAACUUGGAAAACCCUUGUAAAUACUGUGAUAAUAAGAAAUCGAAGUUUAGUAGAUAUGACUUGGAGCAAACGAUAUCUAGUGAGGGUUAUAGCCAGGGUCAUCUACCAGAGUUUGUCUGUUAGGGUUAGCCUUGAUUGUUGCCUUUUAGAUCCAUCCGGUUGAGAAGAGUAAUAAAUAAUUAAGUCCAAUUCAGACGGAUAUCAGUCCAGCGAAAGCAUAUAAUAGUUAUGGGGAUUUGGAGAAGAGUUGGGAUACUUGUCCAUGUUUUAGAGAGGAAAUCAUAGUUUAAGUAGUGCCGGGUCAUACAAAUAUCCGUCCGAAUAUUAGGAAAAAACAGAAGCAAGUAGUUAUGGAAAUCCAAAUUGCUACCUUGUUAUCUAUCCAUAAUGAAAUAAAGGAUAGGGAGUCCAGAGAGCUUUAGUUGGAACACUAAUCUGGACAGAGACACGAAGAUUAGAGAGGUAGGUUUGGAGGUGUGGUUGAAGGACAAAGUGAGAAAACCGAUGCUAGAUAAUCAAACAGAGAAUUGUCAACCAGACUCAGUAAACGAGCAGUGAAUAGAGGAUAGAGGACUGUUUAAAAAGGGAGUGUGAAAUUAAGCUGUUAAAGAAAUAUAUUAUAAACGUUAAAUAGAGAAAAUGGCUAGCCUGUUGAAAGAGUAGUGCAUUAAAACUUAGAUGUCUCUAAUGGUACAUUGUAAAAGACCUUGGUGUAUGCUUUUAGGGGCUAUAAAAUGACAAUAUGGGAAAUAAUAUGACACCGUUCUAAAACUAGUUUGUUUACAUACAAUCAGGAGCACCAGUAUACUCCUGGCACCAUAACCACUAUGGCAUGCUGAAGUGGUUAUAGAGUUUGGAGUGUUCUAUUAAAAAUAAACAGGAUUAUAGUAUCAAUCAUAAAUUGCAGUGUUGUCCUAUAAAAUGUAUUGUAACUUCAGAAGAAAUGACACAUACCUAUACCUAAUUAAAUUUAGUGUUUGUUGUGUUUGCUCAAUUGCAAGGCUGAUUGACUUCCUAUGCUAAAUGUAAAAGCCCCAUGAUCCUUUGCAUUCAGCCUGUGAUUGUAGAAAACAGGCAAGCACGGGGCACCUAGAGAAAAUGGUGGUGCCAAUUGAGCUAAUUAAAGGACCACUAUAGUGCCGGGAAAACAUACUCGUUUUCCUGGCACUAUAGUGCCCUGAGGGUGCCCCCACCCUCAAGGUCCCCCUCCUCCUCUCCGCCUCCGAUCCUCCUCUUCGGCUGAAUGUGCAUGCGCGGCAGGAGCUGCGUGCGCAUUCAGCCAGUCUCAUAGGAAAGCAUUCAGAAUGCUUUCCUAUGGACGCUGGCGUCUUCUCACUGUGAUUUUUCACAGUGAGAAGCACGCAAACGCCUCUAGCGGCUGUCAAUGAGACAGCCACUAGCGGCUUUAUUAACCCAUUUAUAACGUUUUCUCUGAAACUGCUAUGUUUAUAAAAAAAAAAAAGGGUUAAUCCUAGAGGGACCUGGCACCCAGACCACUUCAUUAAGCUGAAGUGGCCUGGGUGCCUAGAGUGGUCCUUUAAGUGUUUUUCUAAUCACCUCCACUGCAUACCUCAGCCUUCAAAAUUCUUCAUGCGCAUUAUUAAAGUGAGAAAAAGAGCAACUCUCCCCACCAAAAAAUAUGAUUGCUCUUGUUUAUGUAUCUACUGGCUGUAACUGAAUAUACAUUUGUUCAAAUUUGACUUUUGUUUUAAAUUUACCAUCUGCAGGAACAUAUCUCCGUGGUUUGGAAACAACAGCAACUUUUGACAACAAGACACAAGAAUUUAUAAUAAACACCCCUCAAAUAACUGCUGCUAAAUGGUGGCCUGGAGACAGUAAGCUAAUACAAUUUAUAUUUUUUAAUUCUUUUAUUUAGAAAUUUUAAAUUGUCAUCACAUCACUUGAUAAUUGGCAUGUGUUUAUAACCUUAUUCAUGAAUAAAGGGAAUACAAAUUCAAAUAACAGAAAAGAAAAAGGAAAUAUAAUGUAACAGAAUUUAAAUUUAGAAUACGUAUUGUCAAUGAUGCUCAAACAUUGUACUCUAUGGAUUUCAAGAUCAGAGACAACAUGGGUUUACUUCAGGGAGAUCAUGCCAAACAAAUCUUAUUGAUUUUUUUGAUUGGGUAACUAAAAUUAUAGAUCAGGGUGGUGCAGUAGACAUUGCUUACCUAGAUUUCAGUAAGGCUUUUGACACUGUUGCACAUAGAAGGCUUAUCAAUAAACUGCAAUCUUUAAGUUUGGAUUCAAAUAUUGUUGAAUGGGUAAGGCAGUGGCUGAGUGACAGGCAACAGAGGGUUGUAGUUAAUGGAAUAUAUUCGAAGCUUGGACUUGUCACCAGUGGGGUACCUCAGGGAUCUGUACUUGGACCCAUUCUCUUUAAUAUUUUUAUUAGUGAUAUUGCAGAAGGUCUUGAUGGUAAGGUAUGUCUUUUUGCUGAUGAUACUAAGAUAUGUAACAGGGUUGAUGUUCCAGGAGGGAUAAGCCAAAUGACAAAUGAUUUAGGUAAACUAGAAAAAUGGUCAGAAUUGUGGCAACUGACAUUUAAUGUGGAUAAGUGCAAGAUAAUGCAUCUUGGACGUAAAAACCCAAGGGCAUAGUACAGAAUAUUUGAUAGAGUCCUAACCUCAACAUAUGAGGAAAGGGAUUUAGGGGUGAUUAUUUCUGAUGACUUAAAGGUAGGCAGACAAUGUAAUAGAGCAGCAGGAAAUGCUAGCAGAAUGCUUGGUUGUAUAGGGAGAGGUAUUAGCAGUAGAAAGAGGAAGUGCUCAUGCCAUUGUACAGAACACUGGUGAGACCUCACUUGGAGUAUUGUACACAGUACUGGAGACCGUAUCUCAGAAGGAUAUUGAUACCUUAGAGAGGGUUCAGAGAAGGGCUACUAAACUGGUUCAUGGAUUGCGGGAUAAAACUUACCAGGAAAGGUUAAAGGAUCUUAACAUGUAUAGCUUGGAGGAAAGACGAGACAGGGGGGAUAUGAUAGAAACAUUUAAAUAUAUAAAGGGAAUCAACACAGUAAAGGAGGAGACUAUAUUUAAAAGAAGAAAAACUACCACAACAAGAGGACAUAGUCUUAAAUUAGAGGGACAAAGGUUUAAAAAUAAUAUCAGGAAGUAUUACUUUACUGAGAGGGUAGUGGAUGCAUGGAAUAGCCUUCCAGCUGAAGUGGUAGAGGUUAACACAGUAAAGGAGUUUAAGCAUGCGUGGGAUAGCAUAAGGCUAUCCUAACUAUAAGAUAAGACUAGGGACUAAUGAAAGUAUUUAGAAAAUUGGGCAGACUAGAUGGGCCGAAUGGUUCUUAUCUGCCGUCACAUUCUAUGUUUCUAUGUUUCUAUGUUUCUAAGGUCUUGUGCACCCACAUGCACGUUCUUAUUACAUUACUACUCUGCAACUUGAUACUGAGAUGAUUUUACAAAAACUACCAUGGCAGGAAAAACUUGAGAAGGGGCCAACUGGGUUGUUCAACCUGUCCCACCAGUAGUAUACUUUAUAAAUAUACUUUCUUGGGAAAAGGGCGGAAUAUGUGCAACGACCCAUAAUGUGCAAAAGACAGACAGGAAACGUAAGAAAAGGAGAGAAAGAGAAGUAUUAAGGCUAUAGUAAAAAAGUGUUGUCCAAUGUAGGAUGUUGAAGUUGGAUAUGAUAUCCAAGGGUCCUAAAUGUUGUGGAAUUUUUUUGUUUUGUGGAUAAAAGCUGUAAGUAUGUCAAUUUCUACCACGUCUCUCACUUUCUUGUGGACUAUUGCCAUAGUGGUAGUUUGGGCUAUUUCCCCAUUGUUCAGCAAUAUCUUGUCUCGUAGCUAAUGCAAUCUUUGCUAGCAUUUUGUUUUGAGUUCUAGUAAGGUUACCGUAUUUAUUGGCGUAUAACACGCACCGGCGUAUAACACGCACCUCAUUUUAAGAAGGAAAUUUCAGGGAAAAAAAACUUAAAUUUCAAAUAAAGAACUUUGAAGCAAAAUAAGGGUAGCUCAGAACUUUUUUCUGUUAAUAUUAUUAUCUUACUCCCCUCUCCCCCCCCUUCUUACUCCCCCCUCCCCCCUUUUUACUCCCCCCUCCCCCUCUUCUUACCCCCUUUUUACUCCCCCUCUUCUUACCCCCUCUCCCCCCUCUUCCCCUCUUUCUUACUCCCCCACUCCCCUCUUCUUGCCCCCCUUUCUUGCCUCCCCCCUCCCCUCUUCCCCCCUUCCCUGCCUCCCCCCUCCCCCCUUUCUUGCUCCCCCCUCCCUCUUCUUACCCCCCUCCCCUCUUCUUGCCUCCUUUCUUGCCCCUCCCCUCUUUACCCCACUUGCUUCUUGCUCCCCCCUCCCCUCUUCUUGCCCCACUUUUCUUGCUCCCCCUCCCCCUUUCUUCUCCCCCUCCCUCUUCUUGCCCCCCCUCACUCUCUUUUUUGCCCCUCCCCUGUAGCGUGGCCGAGCUGCUCUGCUGUCCGCGGGAGUGAUAGGAAGGUGCACGCUUACCCAUAAUCCUUUGCGGUAGUAACAUCACUGCAGAUUUCUGUGGGAAAAGCAAGUCUUAUGGCUUGACUGGUGUGCAGAUUUGUGUUUAACAUUGUAUUAACUCUCUCUCUCUCUCUCUCUAUCUAUAUAUAUAUAUGUGUGUGUGUAUAAAGGUCCACCUUUCAAGGUAUUUUUAUGUUCAAUAAAUGUUUAUGAAUAUAAAGAACAAGUACACAAUUGUAUAAGGAUAUACACAGAUCAUGCAAAUAAAUUUAGAUAAUUUGUAAUUAUAAAAAACCAAAGUGAAACAGUGUCAACUCAUAGUAACAUUCAAAGACGAAACGUAUGCAAUUAGGAGGCCUAUAAGGACAGAACAAUAGAUGUAUGUAAACAGCUUAUUAGACCAUUGUAUUAGGUCAGGAGGUUAAACAUUGGAGCAAUAAGGAACCAGAAAGUUAAUCGAGGCAGAGAAGGAAAGGAAGGAGAGAGUAAGAGAAAGAGAGGAAAGGAACAUGAGGACACCCUUUAAUUAUGUGAGAGGGCAGUACCAAGGGUAUGUAAUUAAAUAUUUUUAGUUCUGUUUUAUUAGAUUUAUGAUCCUUUGGAAGAAGUAUUUGGGUUUUGCUUACCCCUGGUCCUGAUAUAUGUCAUAUAUUUUCACACUCUUUUGGCUCACAGUGAGAGUGUAGGUAAUAAUACGAGGCUUUUAAAUUAUUGUCAAAUACUGCUUGCAAGGGGUGGGUGGGGGAUAUUAAAACACAACAAAAAAGCAACUUACAACUAUAGUUCUAGUUCAUUCAUGAAUGUUUACUUCCUUUUCACAGUGGGUAAGUCAUGCACCCAUGCUGUUGUCUUGGCACAGCUAAUCAUCAAAGAUAAGAAUUACGGAAUGCAUCCUUUCAUCGUGCAAGUUCGGAGCCUAAAAGACCACUCUGCCUUACCAGGUAAACUAUCACUUCAGAGCAAUAUCCUCACUUAAAGGGACAACUCAAGUACCAUAACCACGACAGCUUAUUGUUACAGGGUUUAUGUGUCAAUUCAGUAUCCCUAAAGAGUAACUGCAAUUUAGCACAGCCUAAUCAUGUAUAUCUUAACAAUAUAGGUACCCAGACCCAGUGGCGAACUAAGGGGGGGGCAGCCCACCCAGGUGCCACUCACUAGGGGGGUGCCAUGACUGCCAGUGUCAUAAGUCACUCCCCAUCAAUUAUUAUUGUGCGGGCCUUUGCAGCUGCACUUUACAGCACUGACUGCAUUAAUAUGGAGGAGCAUGGGGAGGUGUGUUACAGCGUUGCGCAAUGUGAUGUCGACGUGCGCCGCUGCCGCCUUCAUGGAUCUCCAGAACGUGAGGCACCAGUGGUCGGAGCAGAGCAGGUCAGCGUACCCCCCUUAAUUAAAAAAGGCUGGUAUGCACUUUAUGUUAAGGGGGUGCAGGGUUUUUAUGUGAAGGGAUGUAUGAACGUUGUGAAGUUGGUGUAGGGUUUUUGUGUGUAGAGGGUACAGGGUUUUUAUGUGUACGGUGGGUGUAUGAAUUUGUGUAGUGGGGUGCAGAAUUUUUAUAUGUAGGGGCUGUAUGAACUUUGUGAAGUGGAUGCAGGGUUUUUAUGUGUAGGGGGUGUAUGAACUUUAUGUGAUGGGGUGCAGGUUUUUUUUUUUUUAAAUUCUUUAUUUUUAAUGUGCAUGGUAUAACAAUAGGCUUGUUCAGCCACAAUAGCAGUCACAAGCAGUAAUGUAACAAACAGUUGAAACAUAACGUGGCAUACGAGUAUACAGCACAUUUUUAGUUUUGUAAGAGAAAAUAUAAACAGAACAGCAUUCCUCAAGCACAUUUUUUAAGUGUAACAAUUGAAGCAGUAGGAUUGUCAGCACAUUUUUAUACGUUAAGUAAUGUAGAUUAUGUCAGGUUGUUAAUUAAAGCGAUACACAAUAACAAAAAUCUUGAGUACAAUGAGUGAAUUGACAUGACUGGUAACAUGCUGGGUUGGUACGUCUUCCUAUCAAACUACCAGGCUAGGAGGGUACAUUUUUCAUUAUUUAUAUAGCAAGCUAUACCAGAUAGUUAACAAUGCUAGGAUACGUUUGCUAGGGUAUCUGUUAUAAGAGGCAAGUGCUUAUUUACAAAGGCAUAGUACUUAUGCUAAACAGUGGGUCUAGGCGUAAAUGCUAAGGCUACAUCAAUACGUGGGAAGAUGCCUAGGGUUGCAGUGUGGCUGACUAACCGUUAAUACACAUUUAAGCAAGACCGUAAAGGGUUGCUGGCAUACAAGCCUGAGGUACCUCAACGGCAGUCCUCCGGCUACAUAUCAAGCUUUACGUUCAGGGUAUUUGGAUAAACAUGCACAAUUUUUAACGGUUACAAUGGCGGGGAUGCAGGGUUUUUAUGUGCAUGAAGGGGAGGGUAUGAAUUUGAUGUGUAGGGUGGGUGGAUUUUUGAGUGGGGAUGCACAAUUUUUAUGUGCAAUAAAUAUUCUUGAAAACAUUGGAAAAAAUGUGUAUUUUUUUUUUAUUUUUUUUUUUUACAUUUUUAAGGGGAUAGGGGGGUGCCAAACAUAGGGUCCAUCCUGGGUGCCAAAUGCUCUAGGUACGCCCCUGCCUAGACCACUUUCACUCAAUAAAGUGGUGCAGUGUUCCCUGUUCCCUAAAUGCUUACAUUGCAGUUCUAAGACUGCCUCUAGUGGCUGUCUACCAGAGAGCCACUAGAGNNNNNNNNNNNNNNNNNNNNNNNNNNNNNNNNNNNNNNNNNNNNNNNNNNNNNNNNNNNNNNNNNNNNNNNNNNNNNNNNNNNNNNNNNNNNNNNNNNNNGUACUUCCUGGAUUCUAGCAGAGUGUGAAUUCGUGCUCUGAGGACAUUCAGCAUCAGUGAAAUCCCCAUAGCAAAGCAUUAAUUCAAUGCUUUCCUAUGGGGAGGGCCUAAUGCCAAUGUCCAGGCAUGCGCAUUAGGUCCUCCCAUCUGAUGACGUCAGAGGAGGUGGAGCGCCAACCCAGCGCCGAAGGAAAUCAAUGCUAUAAUCGGGUGAGAAAAUAAAGUAUUUUUAACCCUUUGUGUGNNNNNNNNNNNNNNNNNNNNNNNNNNNNNNNNNNNNNNNNNNNNNNNNNNNNNNNNNNNNNNNNNNNNNNNNNNNNNNNNNNNNNNNNNNNNNNNNNNNNCCACAGGGGGUGGGGAACGAAGGAUCAUAGGAACAAAGGGCACUAUAGUGUUAAGAAUACAGAUUCGUAUUCCUAACACUAUAGAUUCCUUUUAAACAUCCAUUAAUGUAUGAUAUUUUUACUUCCACCAGGUAUAACAGUUGGAGAUAUUGGGCCAAAAAUGUCUUUUGAGAAUGUGGACAACGGAUUUCUUAUGAUGAGGAACAUUCGUAUUCCAAAGGAGAACAUGCUGAGCAGAUAUUCUGAGGUAUUUAAAGGUACAAGGGCCCUAAAAAAAAGGAUCCUCCAUCUUUUAAAUAUUUCUAUAUUCUUAAAUAAUAUAUUCUUUUUAAUAAUUGAAGAUCAUUCUAGCUUUGGUGUACCUAUAAUCUUAAUUUUAGUAAUGACAAGAGGUGAGUAUUUUGCAUUAUCCUUAAUUAGUAAACUCUACAGCAGCAAAGAAAUUUAACAUAGAAACAAAGUAACCAAGUGAUCUCUUGAUGCGAAACUAGAACAGGCAACUAAUGGAAAAACACAAAUUCUAAUGAGUAUGACAUUCAAAACAAGAAGAUGUUGGAAGUUAAACUGAAACCUAAAGAAACUUGAGGAGUAGUCAGUGCUAGAAAUUAACUAAAAUUAAGAUUAUAGGAACAAUAAAGCUAGCAUAAUCUUCAAUUUUACCCUGACAGGAGUUAAUAUUUAGCAAUUUUAACGCUGGGUCAAAAGAUAGAAAGCAGCGUGUGAUAAAAGGCAAAGCUCCCCUCCCCCCUAAAAAACAAAACAAAAAACAUAGCCUCAUGAGACAAAUCAGUCGAAAGCAGGAUAUGCUGCAAUUACGCGCUCAAAACUCCUCAAACAGAGUGAGCACCAAAGGAGGGGUCCACACCCAUUAACGAUAAUAGCUAUCAAACCCACCGAGCCACGUUUGUAACAGAGACCAGUCUGUGCAGAUGGACAUAAGAGGUCAAGAGUUGACCAGAUAGAGAAAAAACUGCAAAAGAGCCGUUAAUAUUCUUGUAGUUCCACAAACUUGCACAAGUUGUGUUUCGCUGAAAAAAGUGAUUAGAUACAGACUCAGAAUUAGAUUUCGUGUGGCGGGAAAUCUGAAAUGUAAUGACCUCUGAAGAAAAGGAAAAAAUAUCUACAUCGAAAGCCCGAGCAUCCAAGACCCAACGUAAUACAACCAAACAUAAAAGUGGAGGCAACUUUACUGAAAGUUGACGAAGAGAAAGACAAACAUUCUCCGGGAACAUGAUGUCCAUGUCCCUCAAAAUGAGAAUAGUUAGAGCCAGACGGACAAAACACUUGAAUGCUAUGAUCAGAUAUGUCUUACCCACCAGAAACCAUCUUAACAGGGACGGGAGCCGCUGGAAUGUCGGAAAGCACAAUAGUAAAUUGACCGAUAUGAUGAGACAAAAAGUUCAGAAUGGCAAUAACAUGGGUAGUAACAAGAUUAUGACCCCUUUCCAGACAACAGUGUGACCAGUAAUCCAAUUAUGACAAAAAGCCUGGUCUACUACCUGGGGCCAACAAGUUUCACAAGAAAUCUUAAGCUGCUUGUGAAAAAGGUGCUGACCCACAAUGAACCACAGUAAUGAUCCAAGCCACAAGUUGGAGUCGGCCAUCCUGAAUGAGAGGGUGCACAUUCCCCUUCGGAUCCUCAUAAGGCAAAGAAUACUCACACGAGAGAUACAAUAGGUCUGGUUCAGCCAAAUUUGGUCAUUAAGGUAUACAUCACCUAUGGUUUGCAAAAGUAGUGCACCAUCCGAGCCACCUUCGCAAAUGGAGGAAAGGCGUAAGGUCGGUGAGCCGGCCAAUUCUGAUUAAAGAAAUUCUUGGCCGGAUCCAGCAGUCAAUUGACGAAGGCCGGAGUCUGGUGGUUGUGUUGUGAGGCAAACAGAUCCAGGAAAAAUGUACCCCUGUAUGACGAGAAGAGGAAGAACACCGCCACACCCAGCAUUCAGUCACUGGCAUCUCUCCAGAACCAGUUUGCAGUGAGAUUUGUUUCUCCCUGGAGAUAUUCUGCCUUCAGGGACAUGUUGCGUGACAGACCGUAAUUGUAUAUAUCUCUCCUGAUGUCCAUCAACUGCUGAGAGCAAGCGGUGCCCAAGCAGAUGAUAUAUCUCAUCGUUGACACAUUGGCCAUCCGCAGGAGGAUGUUGCAGUUUGACAUGCACCUAGACAGCGUGCAAAUUUCAAAGCAGUCAGCUAUCAAUUCCAGACAAUUGAUUUGCAUAUUGAUCUGGAUCAAGGGCCUUCUGUACAACCAUCUAUGCCAGUUGCUCCACACCCCAAAUACAGGCCUCCGACUCCAGCACCAUAUUCUGAGACUCGAAAAUCACCUGACCAUUUCAGGCCUGCAUGUUCCGAAGCCACCACCUGAGCCCAGCUAUAACAUCCUCUGUUAACAGGAUCUCCCUGUCAUAUGAGUGGAACCGGCAAAGAAACCUAACUUGCAUCACCCAAUAAAGACGCAGAUUACCUGAGGAAUAAUAGAGGAAGACAACAGAACUAUUAUCCAGGCUAGGAGGUGGAGAGGGAUUGACUCUCGAUGUAGUAAACGCUGAAUAUAUUUGCAUAUCGAUAAAAAAUAGGGAUGCAGUGGCCGGUCAACACAUCUGUGUUAGUUUAUCUUGAAACCAAGAAACUGAACCAAAUGGAAAGGAACCAGAGUGGCCUUGGAGUAAUUAACAAUGAGAGAUUUAAAAAAAACAAAAAACUGUGCCUCAAACUGCAGCCUUAAAGUCACCGAGCAAAACAGUACAUCGUCUAUGUAGCUGAUACAACAAAACCUCCAUGAUCUCAGAUGAGCCACAACUGGCUUGAGGAGUUUAGUUAAGUACCAAGGAGCCAAGCUGAGAUGGAUUGUUAAGAGAGGAAUUAAUCCUUGAGUUCGAGCCAGGUAAACCAAUCCCCUUCUUGAAGGAGAUGUCGGAGGAGAUGGACACACUCCAUUUUGAAGUGCCAGUAGACCACGUAGGAAUUCAGCUCCCAUAGAUUUAUACCAAGCCUGAACUUGCCGCCUUUUUUGCGAAUAAGAAAGAUAUUGCUAUAAAUUGCUGUGCCAUACCAGGCACAGGUUGGAUUGCGCCCUUUGUCCUAGGGCCCUGACCUCCUGGUUGAUAAGGCAAGCCUUGUUUCCAGAGAACUGGAUGGGAAGUGGAGGUAGCAACUGCUGUGGUGGGGAAAAAAAUUCUAGAACAUACCUCUUUGAUGAACACCUCUCUGAAGAGCAUGCCCUGUGCUUGGAGCUAAGUCAGAUAAUUUGUUAUCAAUCCGGACCAAACCGCCCUCCUAUUCCUAGAUGAAAGUGCCACAGAGUUUCCAAGCAAACAGAAGCAGCUCUGAGCCCAUUCCCUCUUGUCAAGUGCCAACUCCCACACAGACUGCAGAUCAAUAACAUCAUCCUCCUUAGAGAGGACAUAAUCUGCAAGAUAGAGAAUAUGUUUAACCCCUUAAGGACCAAACUUCUGACAUUCCAGGGCUCCUUAGCCGAAGUGUAAUGUCCCGUUUGCCAUGUAAAAUGUUUAGGGAGCAAGGAAAGUCUUGGUCGUCAUCCUCUGAAGAUGGACAUGGUGGAUGAGUGAACAGCCCCUGGACUAGGCCUUGGCCCAACCAUGGCCACCUACAGUGUGUAAUCUGAUGUGUGCAACCCACCACCAAUGAAGACAGACCAAACAGUGUCCCCCUAAUAGGAUCCCAUUAUCAUUUAGGAAAAAAAACAGGGGGGGGGAGAAUGGGCGGAAAUGCUGCACCAAAAACCGGGGAGCAAGAUGGCCACGUUAAAUCACAGCCCAUAUGAAAUGGACAAGGAGAGAGAAGCGAACACCCUCUCCAUGAAUCCUCUCCUUGCAGGGAACCGCAGAAGAGGAGCAAGGGAGCCAGGUCACACUCCUGAUACUCAGGAGACAGCAGAAGGGUAAAGUCACAGGGGUGAGACAGCCAGGACACAAAAGUGGGCACAGACCCAGAAGGUCACAGAAUUCUAAAUAAAAUGUUAUAUGACAAUACAGCACUAAAUAAUAAAUGUUUUAGGUAAUGAGAGAGAAGUAACACUCUGACCUGAUCCUGUGGAACAGCAAAGAAAGAGGAGGUGCUUAGGUCACUCCACUCUAUAUAUGUGAUGAACUGUUUUCUGACUGGUUAUUUUGUCUAUGUGUUAAAUUUAUUUGCUGGUGUGGAAUUUCGCAAAGAAGGAUAAUGCAAAAUGUCAUGUAGUAAAAUUUUUAUAAUUUAUUGCUUUGUUCCCCUUUUUGUAUUUAUAUUACAUUUUAAUUUGAUUAAAGAUAGUAAAAAGCCUCCAGUAUUUGGUACAAACUUCCACUUUACUAAUUAGUCAUGGUUGCUCAUUUAUAAUCCAGUAUGGCCUAAAGCAUUCCCUUAUCACUUUUCACCUAAAAUGUUUACUAAUAUCACUGAAUAUCCAUCUAAUGUGACUGGAAUUAAACUAUGUGUAUUUUAAUCACAGGUACUCUCAGAUGGCACCUAUGUUAAGCGUGGAUCUGAUAAGAUAAAUUACUUCACAAUGAUAGCUGUGCGAGUUUCCAUUCUUGGUAAUGAAGUGUUGGCUAGCCUGAUGAAAGCUUGCGUCAUUGCUGUCCGAUAUUCUGCCGUCCGUCGCCAGUCAGAGUUAAAACCAGGGUAUGUUCAUCAGCCAUGACUUAGGACAAGUUUUAAUGCUUGAGGGGCCAAGAGAGCAUGGGUUAAGCUUAACACUCCAAGCACCAUAACUACUCCAGCACGCUAGAUUGUUUAUGGUGCCAAGACUGCUCAAGUUCACCCCAAAAGCAAAUAGUUUGCUAUUUUGCAAAUGGUUUGACAUCUUACGUGGGGUCCACUGGACACACUGAGAGCUUGAAGCUGCUCAGCUGAUCGCCUUCCACAAAUUAGCUAAGCCUUGCACCACGGUGCUUAGGUCAGUGCAGAGAACGUUUGACUCUCAUGAGUGACCAGAGCCUGGGAAAUCCCAGGUAAGUUGUUAGACUAUUAGCAAUCAAUUUGAUUUCUUACACUAGCAGAGCACCUAGGCAUAUCUGGCUCCAUGACCACUAUGCACAAUGUAGUGAUUAUGGUAUUUGCAGUGUUUAAUUACAAGAUUUCCAAUUACAUACAAGUCUUGCCUUGCAUAAAUAUGCAGUGCGAAUGUGAUUUGCAUCAUCAGUGUCUUGACAGCCUCAAAUAUCAUGUCAAUUAGAAUAAAAAAUUAUUUGGGCUAAAUAUCAAAUUCUGCAAAAAAAAUCAUGUUUGACGGUUCCUCUUUAAUUGUUAUUAAAGUAAAUCUUUAUUUUCUACAGUGAUAAGGAGUCAAAAAUCAUUGACUACCAAACGCAGCAACAAAAGUUGUUUCCGCUUCUUGCUACAUGCUACGCCAUUCAUUUCAUGGUAAAAUACGUCAACAAAGUUUACAACGAUGUGUCCAAGAUGAUUAAAGCAGAAAAUUUUGACUCACUCCCAGAGGUACGGUACAAAUUGUUAUACAAGGAGGAUGUGAUAUUUUUUUCCUAAUAUGAAACACAGGGGGAAAUAUAUCAAUAUGUACUAACAGUUUUUACAUCUACGCUUCAGUAGAUUUUUGGAGCAAUUUAUUCAAUUUGUCAUGCGUUUUCAACUUUUGCAUCACUUUUGAAAAACCAUCACUUUAGAAUAUAUAGAAUGCCAGCGGUGCCCCUGUCUGCAGAAGUCUGGUGCUUCCAGUUUGAAGAAUCUCAGAAAAGUGGAAGGACUGGGGCUGGUCUAAGACAUUCUGCUGCCUGGGUUGAGGAUGAAGUGCUGCCCCCCCCCUUACCCACCACCACCACCAAAACCAUGCCCAUAUCCAUAAUGUUAUGUUGUGUGUAUUGUAUGCAGUGUGUGUAGUGAAUGCAUUGUGUGUGUUUGUGUAGUGCUUGCCGUGUCUGUGUGUGGUGGAUGCAGAGUGUGUGUGUUUCUAAUGGAUGUAGUGUGUGUAGUGGGUGCAGCGUCUGUGUUUGUGUAGUGCAUGCAGUGUCUGUAUAUUGUAUGCAUUGUGUGUGUUUGUGUAGUGGAUGCAGCACCGGUGCAAGCAUCUUUGACUACUCAGACAAAGAUGCUUAUUCUCCCCCACCAAAUGUUUUUUUUUUUUUUUAAAUCUUCAUUUAUGUGUGCCUUUGCAUGUGUCAUUGUCCUUUGCCCCAGCCACUCUGUGUGUGUGUCAUUGGUCCCUUACACAGCCCCUCUGGGUGUGUCAUUGUCCCCUACUCUAGUUCCUCAGUGUGGCAUUGACCCCUUCUUCAGCCCAUGUGUCUCAUUGGCACACCCAGAGUGGCUGGAGAAGGGGACAAUGACACACACUGAGAUGCUGGGAAAGGGUAUAAUGACACAGCAUGGCUGGAGAAGGGGAGAUUGUCUGUGUGUCAAUCUCCCCUUCUCCAGCCACUCUGUGCCAUUGUCCCCUCUCCUAGCACCUCUGUGUGUCAUUGCCCCCCUUCUCCUGCCCCUCAGUGUGUGUCAGUGUCCCAUUCUCCAGCCCCUCAGUGUGGCAUAUUGUCUCCUUCCCAAAGCCCUUUUGAGUGCCCUUCUGUCUCUUACCUGCUUGUGUGCCUGCUUACCUCCCUUCAUGUAGUGUGGCUGAGCAGACCGUGUAGUGGAGCUUCUUUUUCCUCAGGAUUGGCAGGAAGCUGUUCGAUGCUCACUGUCACGGUACAUGAAGUCACCAAGUUAUUGAACACCCCGAGAUCCGGUGCACCCUUAUAUAGCAUCAGCCCAGAGUGGAUGUAGUGUGUGUUUGUGUAGUGUAUGCAUUAUUUGUGUAGUGAAUGCAGUGUCUGUGUGGUGGAUACAAUGUCUCCAAGUGGAAUCAGUCUCUGUGUAGUGGAUAUUGUGUCUGUGUUUGUUGGAUGCAGUGUGUGUGUAGUGGAUGCAGGGUCUGUGUUUGUUAAUUAUAUUUUUAUUGGAUAUUAUCAAGUGGGUUUCUUGCAGGGCACAAAUUUGUACCCGAUUUAAAAAAAUAAAAAAAAAAUAAAAAAAUAAUUAUCAGGUAAUCCACAAUUAUACACCUUUUACAUGGUGUGUUGAUCCAUUUAUUGAGGUCAGCUUAAAUUGUAUUUUCUUAUUUGUUCUUGAGGCUCUCUCUCUCUCCAAAUGUUACCAAAGUUUUAUAAAAAAAUUAGAAAAAAAAUCUUUAUUUGUGCCUACAUAUAAAUAUGACGGGGUGAUCCCAAGCGAUGGUAUCAACCUAAGUCAAGCGUGAUGUAUGGAAAAAAAAAAACACCAUAUUUGGUGUCUCGAGUAAUACAAAACAUUACUCAGAUAUAGUUCCCUCGUAUCAUGUGGGAAAAGCGUGCUGAGGGUGUUUCGAUCCAGGGAGAGCCUACCUUAAGGCACCAAAAAAAAAAAAAAAAGAAAGACAAAUAGGGUUCCAAAUAUGGGAAGAAGUAGGGACAAAGGGAAACCCUGUAAAUCUAAACCCUAUACCCUUUCAGCUUUUUGUUGAGUCAAUCGUUAUAUAAGUGUAAUAACUCACUAUUUUUUUCUUCUUCAUUGUGCAAAAACUUGCACUGCACAGUUAAUGGGAGUAAUCUUCCCUUCAUGUGAUAUAAUAAUUUUCAUGGGGAACCCCCAUAAGUAAUUAAUAUUGUUCUGUCUUAGAAUUAGUGUGCCAUCAGAAAAGGUCUUCCUCUUUUGUCUGGUUUGCCAUGACAAAUCCUGAAAUAUUUUCAGUGUUUUGUAUUCCUCUGCGCAUUCAUUACUUCUUUUAGCUCUUAAAAUUUGUGUCUUAAUUUUAGAGGAGGUGCAGCAUAUCAGUACAUCUCUUGGGAGAUGUUCUGGUACACCCUUAGGUUUAUUCACUCUUUCCAUGUUGGGAAUUCUGGGGUCCCAUUCCACUUUCAGAUGUUUUAAAAAAAAAAAAAACUCAUAUGUCUCCAGAUUUUUAGGAUUGAUUUGUUCUGAUACUCCUCUGAUUUCUUAAAUUGUUUCGUCUUGACCGGUCCUCUAGGUCUAUCAAUUUGUACUCCAUGUCAGCCAUCUUUUUUCCCAGCACCUUAUGUUCUUCUUUCUGGACUUUUUCCUUGUGUUCCAGCCCAUCAAUUUUUUCUUCUUUUCUUCUAUUUCUUGGAAUUGUUGAUUACGAGACAGCAGUUCCUUCUAAAUGUCUUAAUGUCCAGAGUAUUAGCUUGGAUUUCUUCUCUCAAUUUUCCAAUAUCUAAGUGUGUAAGUAGGUGUUCAUAUUCAUUUCUUCCUCUCUUGACUCUUGGUUUUCCUCUGUUUGUCCUUUAUUAUUGGCUCCCUCUGAUGGGAUAUUUGAGAGAAUAGAUUCCUCCAGUUUUGAUUUAGUAUCUGAUGGGUUUGUCGAGAAGAAAGAAAGGCGUUUGCGGUUUUACUUUCAGGCUUCUUUUCCUUUUUUAGGUGUUUGCUGUUUUGUGGUUUUUUUUAGUAGCCAUUAUUUUUUACAAUUAUUUAUUCUCUUUCUGGAGGUUUUAUGCCCUUUAUACCCUCUAGACUAGUGCUUUUUUGGUUUUAGUAUAGUAUCUUUUUAUAUCUUAUGUUUCCUUCUCCCAAAGCCCCUCUCCUCCUCACCUUUGUCCCAGUCUUCUCCUCUCCAACCUAAUAAACAGUUAAGUUUUAUCUUUUUAUUCUAUUAUACGUUCCCUUAUUCCUAUCUUUGUGGGGUAUUGGAAUAACCAAACUAACCACACUAAAUAUCAGAAAUAGGGGACAAGUAUAAGGUGGUAUGAUGCAACAAACAAAAAGACAAUCCGGAAAAAGACAAAAGAAAAAGCUUAAGGGAACACAAAGGCCCUCAGGGCACAUUAACUCAAUUUACUACUGACCGUCGUCAGUCGGUUCUAUGCUAUAUGCAAAGAUUAAAUUGGGUUAAAUAAUCUUUAAGUCAUAUAUUGCCCUUUGAUGCUGCUCUCUUAUGUUGUUUUCACCUCUAUUCUAGAAGUCCUCUAAUCUUUAGGAGGCCCAGUGUUUAUACUAGCCUCUGCAGAGUGUAAACAAAAGUUGUGUGUUUGGAUACUGGCUUGCUAUGGAGGCUUGGCGUUACUUGAAAAGUACAUACCAAAAAGAGUUGUGCUGGGUUAAAAACUGUGGAUGAAAACCAGGGGUUUUCAUUGGUAUGUACUUUUCAAGUAACGCCAAGCCUCCAUAGCAAGCCAGUAAAAACCACAUGCUGAUAAGUAGCAUUAACAACGAAACAGCUGUCCAUGAGUGGUUCACUGGCUUUGCUCCUCUUCCUGAGCUGUGUUUUUAAAGCUGUUGUAUACAGCAGACACAUACUCCAAGGAUCCAUGUAUAAAGUGUAAUUAUGAGGCAAAAAUGCGCUCAUUUGCAUACGUCUACCCAGAAUCCCUUGCAGUAGUGAGAGCACUGUUAAAGUUGCAAGUCUUAUGGCUUGACUAGUGUGUAUUUGAAGUUUAGCAAUGUUUUUANNNNNNNNNNNNNNNNNNNNNNNNNNNNNNNNNNNNNNNNNNNNNNNNNNNNNNNNNNNNNNNNNNNNNNNNNNNNNNNNNNNNNNNNNNNNNNNNNNNNGCACGGUAUAUCAUAGAGGGUCCGGCACGGUAUAUUAUAAGGGGUCUGGCACGGUAUAUCAUAGAGGGUCCGGCACGGUAUAUCAUAGAGGGUCCGGCACGGUAUAUCAUAGAGGGUCCGGCACGGUAUAUUAUAAGGGGUCUGGCACGGUAUAUCAUAGAGGGUCCGGCACGGUAUAUCAUAGAGGGUCCGGCACGGUAUAUCAUAGAGGGUCCGGCACGGUAUAUUAUAAGGGGUCUGGCACGGUAUAUCAUAGAGGGUCCGGCACGGUAUAUCAUAGAGGGUCCGCACGCAUAUCAUAGAGGGUCCGCACGUAUAUUAUAUAACGGCACGGUAUAUCAUAGAGGGUCCGGCACGGUAUAUCAUAGAGGGUCCGGCACGGUAUAUCAUAGAGGGUCCGGCACGGCUGUCAUUGUAUCAGGACACAUGCAGUAUAUAGAGGGUCUGGCACGGUAUAUCAUAGAGGGUCCGGCACGGUAUAUCAUAGAGGGUCCGGCACGGUAUAUCAUAGAGGGUCCGGCACGGUAUAUCAUAGAGGGUCCGGCACGGUAUAUCAUAGAGGGUCCGGCACGGUAUAUCAUAGAGGGUCCGGCACGGUAUAUCAUAGAGGGUCCGGCACGGUAUAUCAGAGGGUCCGGCAGGGCUGUCAUUGUAUCAGGACACAUGCAGUAUAUAGAGGGUCUGGCAGGGCCCAUGAGCAUCAUGGGUAAUGUAGUCCGGAAGCUAUGUAUGGUGUCAAGGUUAGAGCCUCUGGAAGGCGGGUGUCCUCAGCUCAGGGUCGGGCACAGUACCUGCAGGGCGGCCGGGGAGCUCCCGUGGAAUCCUCUCUGCAGUAAGCCGGAAACAGGGGCCUGUGAAGAGACAGAGAGCGGUGAAUGCCAUGUCAGAGAGCGGGGAGAGGACAGUGAGAGAACCGUCACAGCCCGGCCUUACCUUCCCAGCGAUCAGCAAUCUCCUCAGCGCCGCCAUGUUCCUUCUGUCCUCUGACCGAGACCUUCUCACACUGCAGCCAAUCAGCAAGCGAGAAGCGCCACACCUCCAGGCCGAGCAAUCACAGAUCAGCUGACUGACACCAGCCAAUCACGAGAGCCGGGUCUCCGCCCAGUUCGUGACAACCAGCGGGGAGACUGGGUUACUAGGCAACAGCCAAUCAGCUGCCAGAUCACAAGGAACAGUACGGGGAGUCACGAGGACCAAUUCAUUUCUAGUACUCAUUAAUGGGCGGAGAGCCGAGCUGCAUACGGUAAGAGAGAGGCUCUUAAUACCUGGGGCCACCUCGGUCUGAGGGCGGGCUACUAGCUCCCUAUCAUCUUAAUAGCUCGACAGUCAGACUGGGCUGUGUGUCAUGGCCGCUAGAUUCAACCUGAGCUGUGGGUGAGGGCCAGUGGCCAGGCGGCUGUCACUAGUGUGGGAGUCACCGGCUAUGGGCUGGUGGGAGUCACUGGCUAUGGGAUGGUAGGAGGGUGGGAGUCACUGGCUAUGGGAUGGUAGGAGGGUGGGAGUCACUGGCUAUGGGCUGGUGGGAUGGUGGGAGUCACUGGCUAUGGGCUGGUAGGAUGGUGGGAGUCACUGGCUAUGGGCUAUGGGAUGGUGGGAGGGUGGGAGUCACUGGCUAUGGGAUGGUGGGAGGGUGGGAGUCACUGGCUAUGGGAUGGUGGGAGUCACUGGCUAUGGGCUGGUGGGAGUCACUGGCUAUGGGGUGGUAGGAGGGUGGGAGUCACUGGCUAUGGGAUGGUGGGAGUCAUUGGCUAUGGGCUGGUAGGAUGGUGGGAGGGUGGGAGUCACUGGCUAUGGGCUGGUGGGAGUCACUGGCUAUGGAUGGUAGGAGGGGUGGGAGUCACUGGCUAUGGGAUGGUGGGAGUCACUGGCUAUGGGCUGAUAGGAGGUGGGAGUCACUGGCUAUGGAAUGGUGGGAGUCACUGCUAUGGAAUGGGUAGGAGUCACUGGCUAUGGAAUGGUGGGAGUCACUGGCUAUGGGCUGGUGGGAGUCACUGGCUAUAGGCUGGUGGGAGUCACUGGCUAUGAGCUGGUAGGAGGCUAUGGGCUGGUGGGAGCUCACUAUAGGCUGGUAGAGAGGGCUGGGAGUCACUAUAGGCUGAUAGGAGGUAGGAGUCACUGGCUAUGGAGCUGGUGGAGUCACUGUAGCUAUGUAGGCUGGUGGAGCUCUGGUGGGGCCUGGUGGUGGGAGUGGUGGUAGGACACUGGCUAUGGGAUGGUGGGAGGUGGGAUAGUGGCUGGCUAUGGGAUGGUGGGAGUCACUGGCUAUGGGAGGAGUGGGAGUCACUGGCUAUGGGAGGGUGGGAGUCACUGGGCUGGUGGGAGGGUGGGAGUCACUGGCUAUGGGCUGGUGGGAGGUGGGAGUCACUGGCUAUAUAGGAGUCACUAGCUGAGCUGGUGGGAGUCACUGGCUAUGGGCUGGUGGGAGUCACUGGAUAUGGCUGGUAGGAGGGUGGGAGUCACUGGAUAUGGCUGGUAGGAGGGUGGGAGUCACUGGCUAUGGGCUGGUAGGAUGGUGGGAGUCACUGGCAUUGGGCUGGUAGGAGGGUGGGAGUCACUGGCUAUGGGCUGGUAGGAUGGUGUGGGUCACUGGCUAUUGGCUGGUAGGAGGGUGGGAGUCACUGGCUAUGGGCUGGUAGGAGGGUGGGAGUCACUGGCUAUGGGCUGGUAGGAGGGUGGGGGUCACUGGCUAUGGGCUGGUAGGAUGGUGGUAGUCACUGACUAUGAGCUGGUGUAAGGGUGGUAGUCAAUGACUAUGGGCUGGUAGUAGGGAUUUGAAAUGACAAUAUGAGUCACUGUGUAUGGGGCAUGGUUGAGGGUGGAAGUCAUUUUUUAACCAUAAGAAAUUAGCUUGUACAAGCUUUAGAUAUUCUAAGAUUUGGAAUUUCUUGGUAGGCAUCAAACACUGGGCUGGGAUUAGUCCGUGCAAUGCCUAAAAGUUCAGCCUCUACACUGGGGAAGAGAGGGGAUUAAGUGACCAUUCGCCCGACAUUUCUGUAUUUAUAUCUUUUAUUGAUAUCUUACGCUUGGGUGAUCGUGGUGGCCUGUGAGGUAGGCAUGUCCUGGUUCCAUAUCCAUACUACUACUGAUGUGGUUUACUUUACACCCUUUGACUACACAUCUGUCAUUAAUUACAGUUAUUGUUGUCCUUAUUCUUUUAGCAAUGAAUGCGACUAUCCAAGUCUGUCUGCUGAAUAAUAUUAUCUCUCUGCACUCAUUAAUUAUUUACAACUUUACUAAUCUUAAUUCCUCUGUUCUACAUUUACACACACCUCCCAACAUUUCAAAUAAAGAAACAGGGACACUUCUAUUAUAGUGGUGUGAGUGGGGUUGUGGCCAGCAGGCUGUAUUGUUCUGAGAAAUAUUAAGUAACCUAUUAAUCACAAUUUAUGCAACUAAAAUUUAAUUUAGAACAAUAACCAUACAGCUUAUUUAAUCAGAAUUCUAAACACACAUACUGUGAGUAUGAUUGCUGUGCAGUUCAGACACACCAACAAUAUGGAGCUCACUGAAAAGAUGGAUGUUAGGAUAGAAAAGUGGGACAGGGGGAUUUGGGCCCUAAAUAGGGACAAUUGGGGGAUAUGGUUACAUAUUGAUUUAACACAUAUAGUUUAAGAAAAUAAAAUUUUUAAACAUUUGGAUUUGCAAAUAAACAAACAUUGAGUAACCAUGUUUUCACAGUUUAGGGAAACUACAAAAUCAACCUACGCAUUUUAUUCAUUUUUCUAAUUAUUAUAUUCUGUAAUCUAGAUCAAUGGUCAUAUUUAACUAUCUUUAAGAAGUUGAACAUAAAAGCCAGAUAGCUUUUUUUUUUUUUUUGAAAGCUAACAGGAUGUAAAUAUUAUCUAGAUGUUAUUUUAGGCAAUGCAAAAUCGAUCUAUAUCUGGCAGCAAGAGAAUCAUUUAAACAUUGUUAAAUAACACAAUAACAUUUAUAACAAGCACAUUUUUUUUUUAGAACUAGAGCUCAUUAUGUAGUUUUCAUUGUUGAACACAUUAUGGAUGCUUGACUACCUGUGGACCAUGUAAGAUGAAAUUAAAUAUUUGAUCAGAAAGUAUCGAGUGCUAGUUUUAACCAGAUGUUUGACCUUUAAUCAUGGGCAUCUUUUGUCUUUUGAAGUCUAGCAUUGCCAUAUGUAUCAGGCACUACUUCGAUCAUGCAUACAUACCCAAUUCCUUGUGUGAUCUUAAUGUGAUUUUUAAAUUGGGGUCUGUUCAGUUUUCACUCACUAUUUUCAUGCCUAUGCUCUUUUGAGAUGUGCCGUGAAGGUGAGUAUAAAACACACUUACUUCCUCUAUACUUCCAGGUGCAGAAGUAGACACAUCUCAAUGCAUUCAUGUGAUCCUUCGAAUCCUGAGUCCAUGCACGCUAAUGAUCCUACACCCAUGGUGUCAUAGGAAUACAGUGAUUUACAUCAUAUGUCAUGCUUUCUGUUGACAUUGAAACAUGACAUCACAUGAAGUAAAUAAUUUAAAAGAAAUAAAGAGGAUAUGAAAAUUAUGACAAUAACUUUUAAUUAGCUAUGUGUUUGUGCAAAGAUCUCAAAGGAAGACACAGUGAAGUUAUGUACCUUUCUAUAUAAACACAGGUUUCUUUAAUUUUGAUCAUUUGGUCAAAUGAUAAUUUGAACAUUCCCCAAAACCAUUUAAUAGUUAUGGAAGAAGAGCGUGCCCAAAAGGUAUUCAGUAGUGAUGUCCCGAACGGUUUGCCGAACUGUUCGCGAACGGUUCGCCACGAACAGUUCGCCACGGACUCAUCAUUGAGUAAACUUUGACCAUGUACCUUACAGUCAGCAGACACAUUCCAGCCAAUCAGCACCAGACCCUCCCACCUCCUGGACAGCUCACUAAGAAUGCAGCUUCACAAUGAAUGUAAAAUGGAUGCUGUCCAGGAGGAGGGAGGGUCUGCUGCUGAUUGGCUGGAAUGUGUCUGUUGACUGUGAGGUACAGGGUCAAAGUUUACUCAAUGAUGAGUCCGCGGCGAACCGUUCGGGACAUCACUAGUAUUCACUGGAUACCCAGGCAUGAUACUGGCAUCCAUGAUCUUUUCAAAUAUAUGUAUUUUGUAAAAUGAGCUACAUAUUCUCCCUUCUCAAUUGCUGGUUCUGAAAUAAGAAAUAAAUGAGAACAAAAUUCCUCAAAUUCAAAAAGUUGUAAUAGUGACCGGAAUGUACCUUAAAGUGCAUCUACUGACGUAUCCUGACAAGGAGGGGGAAAUUUUAGUACAGGAUGGUCAGUGAUAUGCCACAUAGUGACCUGGCAUUAUGAAUGACAUAUCUAUCUAUAUAUAUAUAUAUACACAAAAAUAAAUCUUGGCAGUCACCCUCUUUAAAUAUUCAAACAAUAAAUCUUGCCUUUGUGCUCCUUUAGCGUAAUUAUAUAAACCAAAUGUGGACGUUUCGACCCAUACAAGGGUCUUUUUCAAGAUCAAAAUAUACAUGUGACAAGUGCAAAUAUAUACAAAAUAUCUAAUAUCAACUUACCAAUGUGAAGUGAGAGGCAAUCCCACAGCCGUCCGAACCCGGAAGGGCACAAGAGGGACACGUGACCCCACGCGCUGCUAAGCAACGAGUANNNNNNNNNNNNNNNNNNNNNNNNNNNNNNNNNNNNNNNNNNNNNNNNNNNNNNNNNNNNNNNNNNNNNNNNNNNNNNNNNNNNNNNNNNNNNNNNNNNNAACAUCCUCUGUUAACAGGAUCUCCCUGUCAUAUGAGUGGAACCGGCAAAGAAACCUAACUUGCAUCACCCAAUAAAGACGCAGAUUACCUGAGGAAUAAUAGAGGAAGACAACAGAACUAUUAUCCAGGCUAGGAGGUGGAGAGGGAUUGACUCUCGAUGUAGUAAACGCUGAAUAUAUUUGCAUAUCGAUAAAAAAUAGGGAUGCAGUGGCCGGUCAACACAUCUGUGUUAGUUUAUCUUGAAACCAAGAAACUGAACCAAAUGGAAAGGAACCAGAGUGGCCUUGGAGUAAUUAACAAUGAGAGAUUUAAAAAAAACAAAAAACUGUGCCUCAAACUGCAGCCUUAAAGUCACCGAGCAAAACAGUACAUCGUCUAUGUAGCUGAUACAACAAAACCUCCAUGAUCUCAGAUGAGCCACAACUGGCUUGAGGAGUUUAGUUAAGUACCAAGGAGCCAAGCUGAGAUGGAUUGUUAAGAGAGGAAUUAAUCCUUGAGUUCGAGCCAGGUAAACCAAUCCCCUUCUUGAAGGAGAUGUCGGAGGAGAUGGACACACUCCAUUUUGAAGUGCCAGUAGACCACGUAGGAAUUCAGCUCCCAUAGAUUUAUACCAAGCCUGAACUUGCCGCCUUUUUUGCGAAUAAGAAAGAUAUUGCUAUAAAUUGCUGUGCCAUACCAGGCACAGGUUGGAUUGCGCCCUUUGUCCUAGGGCCCUGACCUCCUGGUUGAUAAGGCAAGCCUUGUUUCCAGAGAACUGGAUGGGAAGUGGAGGUAGCAACUGCUGUGGUGGGGAAAAAAAUUCUAGAACAUACCUCUUUGAUGAACACCUCUCUGAAGAGCAUGCCCUGUGCUUGGAGCUAAGUCAGAUAAUUUGUUAUCAAUCCGGACCAAACCGCCCUCCUAUUCCUAGAUGAAAGUGCCACAGAGUUUCCAAGCAAACAGAAGCAGCUCUGAGCCCAUUCCCUCUUGUCAAGUGCCAACUCCCACACAGACUGCAGAUCAAUAACAUCAUCCUCCUUAGAGAGGACAUAAUCUGCAAGAUAGAGAAUAUGUUUAACCCCUUAAGGACCAAACUUCUGACAUUCCAGGGCUCCUUAGCCGAAGUGUAAUGUCCCGUUUGCCAUGUAAAAUGUUUAGGGAGCAAGGAAAGUCUUGGUCGUCAUCCUCUGAAGAUGGACAUGGUGGAUGAGUGAACAGCCCCUGGACUAGGCCUUGGCCCAACCAUGGCCACCUACAGUGUGUAAUCUGAUGUGUGCAACCCACCACCAAUGAAGACCGACCAAACAGUGUCCCCCUAAUAGGAUCCCAUUAUCAUUUAGGAAAAAAAACAGGGGGGGGGAGAAUGGGCGGAAAUGCUGCACCAAAAACCGGGGAGCAAGAUGGCCACGUUAAAUCACAGCCCAAAUGAAAUGGACAAGGAGAGAGAAGCGAACACCCUCUCCAUGAAUCCUCUCCUUGCAGGGAACCGCAGAAGAGGAGCAAGGGAGCCAGGUCACACUCCUGAUACUCAGGAGACAGCAGAAGGGUAAAGUCACAGGGGUGAGACAGCAAGGACACAAAAGUGGGCACAGACCCAGAAAGUCACAGAAUUCUAAAUAAAAUGUUAUAUGACAAUACAGCACUAAAUAAUAAAUGUUUUAGGUAAUGAGAGAGAAGUAACACUCUGACCUGAUCCUGUGGAACAGCAAAGAAAGAGGAGGUGCUUAAGUCACUCCACUCUAUAUAUGUGAUGAACUGUUUUCUGACUGGUUAUUUUGUCUAUGUGUUAAAUUUAUUUGCUGGUGUGGAAUUUCGCAAAGAAGGAUAAUGCAAAAUGUCAUGUAGUAAAAUUUUUAUAAUUUAUUGCUUUGUUCCCCUUUUUGUAUUUAUAUUACAUUUUAAUUUGAUUAAAGAUAGUAAAAAGCCUCCAGUAUUUGGUACAAACUUCCACUUUACUAAUUAGUCAUGGUUGCUCAUUUAUAAUCCAGUAUGGCCUAAAGCAUUCCCUUAUCACUUUUCACCUAAAAUGUUUACUAAUAUCACUGAAUAUCCAUCUAAUGUGACUGGAAUUAAACUAUGUGUAUUUUAAUCACAGGUACUCUCAGAUGGCACCUAUGUUAAGCGUGGAUCUGAUAAGAUAAAUUACUUCACAAUGAUAGCUGUGCGAGUUUCCAUUCUUGGUAAUGAAGUGUUGGCUAGCCUGAUGAAAGCUUGCGUCAUUGCUGUCCGAUAUUCUGCCGUCCGUCGCCAGUCAGAGUUAAAACCAGGGUAUGUUCAUCAGCCAUGACUUAGGACAAGUUUUAAUGCUUGAGGGGCCAAGAGAGCAUGGGUUAAGCUUAACACUCCAAGCACCAUAACUACUCCAGCACGCUAGAUUGUUUAUGGUGCCAAGACUGCUCAAGUUCACCCCAAAAGCAAAUAGUUUGCUAUUUUGCAAAUGGUUUGACAUCUUACGUGGGGUCCACUGGACACACUGAGAGCUUGAAGCUGCUCAGCUGAUCGCCUUCCACAAAUUAGCUAAGCCUUGCACCACGGUGCUUAGGUCAGUGCAGAGAACGUUUGACUCUCAUGAGUGACCAGAGCCUGGGAAAUCCCAGGUAAGUUGUUAGACUAUUAGCAAUCAAUUUGAUUUCUUACACUAGCAGAGCACCUAGGCAUAUCUGGCUCCAUGACCACUAUGCACAAUGUAGUGAUUAUGGUAUUUGCAGUGUUUAAUUACAAGAUUUCCAAUUACAUACAAGUCUUGCCUUGCAUAAAUAUGCAGCGCGAAUGUGAUUUGCAUCAUCAGUGUCUUGACAGCCUCAAAUAUCAUGUCAAUUAGAAUAAAAAAUUAUUUGGGCUAAAUAUCCAAUUCUGCAAAAAAAAUCAUGUUUGACGGUUCCUCUUUAAUUGUUAUUAAAGUAAAUCUUUACUUUCUACAGUGAUAAGGAGUCAAAAAUCAUUGACUACCAAACGCAGCAACAAAAGUUGUUUCCGCUUCUUGCUACAUGCUACGCCAUUCAUUUCAUGGUAAAAUACGUCAACAAAGUUUACAACGAUGUGUCCAAGAUGAUUAAAGCAGAAAAUUUUGACUCACUCCCAGAGGUACAGUACAAAUUGUUAUACAAGGAGGAUGUGAUAUUUUUUUCCUAAUAUGAAACACAGGGGGAAAUAUAUCAAUAUGUACUAACAGUUUUUACAUCUACGCUUCAGUAGAUUUUUGGAGCAAUUUAUUCAAUUUGUCAUGCGUUUUCAACUUUUGCAUCACUUUUGAAAAACCAUCACUUUAGAAUAUAUAGAAUGCCAGCGGUGCCCCUGUCUGCAGAAGUCUGGUGCUUCCAGUUUGAAGAAUCUCAGAAAAGUGGAAGGACUGGGGCUGGUCUAAGACAUUCUGCUGCCUGGGUUGAGGAUGAAGUGCUGCCCCCCCCCUUACCCACCACCACCACCAAAACCAUGCCCAUAUCCAUAAUGUUAUGUUGUGUGUAUUGUAUGCAGUGUGUGUAGUGAAUGCAUUGUGUCUGUGUGUGGUGGAUGCAGAGUGUGUGUGUUUCUAAUGGAUGUAGUGUGUGUAGUGGGUGCAGCGUCUGUGUUUGUGUAGUGCAUGCAGUGUCUGUAUAUUGUAUGCAUUGUGUGUGUUUGUGUAGUGGAUGCAGCACCGGUGCAAGCAUCUUUGACUACUCAGACAAAGAUGCUUAUUCUCCCCCACCAAAUGUUUUUUUUUUUUUUUAAAUCUUCAUUUAUGUGUGCCUUUGCAUGUGUCAUUGUCCUUUGCCCCAGCCACUCUGUGUGUGUGUCAUUGGUCCCUUACACAGCCCCUCUGGGUGUGUCAUUGUCCCCUACUCCAGUUCACAGUGUGGCAUUGACCCCUUCUUCAGCCCAUGUGUCUCAUUGGCACACCCAGAGUGGCUGGAGAAGGGGACAAUGACACACACUGAGAUGCUGGGAAAGGGUAUAAUGACACAGCAUGGCUGGAGAAGGGGAGAUUGUCUGUGUGUCAAUCUCCCCUUCUCCAGCCACUCUGUGCCAUUGUCCCCUCUCCUAGCACCUCUGUGUGUCAUUGCCCCCCUUCUCCUGCCCCUCAGUGUGUGUCAGUGUCCCAUUCUCCAGCCCCUCAGUGUGGCAUAUUGUCUCCUUCCCAAAGCCCUUUUGAGCGCCCUUCUGUCUCUUACCUGCUUGUGUGCCUGCUUACCUCCCUUCAUGUAGUGUGGCUGAGCAGACCGUGUAGUGGAGCUUCUUUUUCCUCAGGAUUGGCAGGAAGCUGUUCGAUGCUCACUGUCACGGUACAUGAAGUCACCAAGUUAUUGAACACCCCGAGAUCCGGUGCACCCUUAUAUAGCAUCAGCCCAGAGUGGAUGUAGUGUGUGUUUGUGUAGUAAUGCAUUAUUUGUGUAGUGAAUGCAGUGUCUGUGUGGUGGAUACAAUGUCUCCAAGUGGAAUCAGUCUCUGUGUAGUGGAUAUUGUGUCUGUGUUUGUUGGAUGCAGUGUGUGUGUAGUGGAUGCAGGGUCUGUGUUUGUUAAUUAUAUUUUUAUUGGAUAUUAUCAAGUGGGUUUCUUGCAGGGCACAAAUUUGUACCCGAUUUAAAAAAAAAAAAAAAAAAUUAUUAUCAGGUAAUCCACAAUUAUACACCUUUUACAUGGUGUGUUGAUCCAUUUAUUGAGGUCAGCUUAAAUUGUAUUUUCUUAUCUGUUCUCGAGGAAAAAUUAGAAAAAAAAUCUUUAUUUGUGCCUACAUAUAAAUAUGACGGGGUGAUCCCAAGCGAUGGUAUCAACCUAAGUCAAGCGUGAUGUAUGGAAAAAAAAAAACACCAUAUUUGGAAAUAUAUCAAUAUGUACUAACAGUUUUUACAUCUACGCUUCAGUAGAUUUUUGGAGCAAUUUAUUCAAUUUGUCAUGCGUUUUCAACUUUUGCAUCACUUUUGAAAAACCAUCACUUUAGAAUAUAUAGAAUGCCAGCGGUGCCCCUGUCUGCAGAAGUCUGGUGCUUCCAGUUUGAAGAAUCUCAGAAAAGUGGAAGGACUGGGGCUGGUCUAAGACAUUCUGCUGCCUGGGUUGAGGAUGAAGUGCUUCCCCCCCCCUUACCCACCACCACCACCAAAACCAUGCCCAUAUCCAUAAUGUUAUGUUGUGUGUAUUGUAUGCAGUGUGUGUAGUGAAUGCAUUGUGUGUGUUUGUGUAGUGCUUGCCGUGUCUGUGUGUGGUGGAUGCAGAGUGUGUGUGUUUCAAAACAUUACUCAGAUAUAGUUCCCUCGUAUCAUGUGGGAAAAGCGUGCUGAGGGUGUUUCGAUCCAGGGAGAGCCUACCUUAAGGCACCAAAAAAAAAAAGCAACCCAACCAGAAAGACAAAUAGGGUUCCAAAUAUGGGAAGAAGUAGGGACAAAGGGAAACCCUGUAAAUCUAAACCCUAUACCCUUUCAGCUUUUUGUUGAGUCAAUCGUUAUAUAAGUGUAAUAACUCACUAUUUUUUUCUUCUUCAUUGUGCAAAAACCUGCACUGCACAGUUAAUGGGAGUAAUCUUCCCUUCAUGUGAUAUAAUAAUUUUCAUGGGGAACCCCUAUAGGUAAUUAAUAUUGUUCUGUCUUAGAAUUAGUGUGCCAUCAGAAAAGGUCUUCCUCUUUUGUCUGGUUUGCCAUGACAAAUCCUGAAAUAUUUUCAGUGUUUUGUAUUCCUCUGCGCAUUCAUUACUUCUUAUAGCUCUUAAAAUGUGUGUCUUAAUUUUAGAGGAGGUGCAGCAUAUCAGUACAUCUCUUGGGAGAUGUUCUGGUACACCCUUAGGUUUAUUCACUCUUUCCAUGUUGGGAAUUCUGGGGUCCCAUUCCACUUUCAGAUGUUUUAAAAAAAAAAAAAACUCAUAUGUCUCCAGAUUUUUAGGAUUGAUUUGUUCUGAUACUCCUCUGAUUUCUUAAAUUGUUUCGUCUUGACCGGUCCUCUAGGUCUAUCAAUUUGUACUCCAUGUCAGCCAUCUUUUUUCCCAGCACCUUAUGUUCUUCUUUCUGGACUUUUUCCUUGUGUUCCAGCCCAUCAAUUUUUUCUUCUUUUCUUCUAUUUCUUGGAAUUGUUGAUUACGAGACAGCAGUUCCUUCUAAAUGUCUUAAUGUCCAGAGUAUUAGCUUGGAUUUCUUCUCUCAAUUUUCCAAUAUCUAAGUGUGUAAGUAGGUGUUCAUAUUCAUUUCUUCCUCUCUUGACUCUUGGUUUUCCUCUGUUUGUCCUUUAUUAUUGGCUCCCUCUGAUGGGAUAUUUGAGAGAAUAGAUUCCUCCAGUUUUGAUUUAGUAUCUGAUGGGUUUGUCGAGAAGAAAGAAAGGCGUUUGCGGUUUUACUUUCAGGCUUCUUUUCCUUUUUUAGGUGUUUGCUGUUUUGUGGUUUUUUUUAGUAGCCAUUAUUUUUUACAAUUAUUUAUUCUCUUUCUGGAGGUUUUAUGCCCUUUAUACCCUCUAGACUAGUGCUUUUUUGGUUUUAGUAUAGUAUCUUUUUAUAUCUUAUGUUUCCUUCUCCCAAAGCCCCUCUCCUCCUCACCUUUGUCCCAGUCUUCUCCUCUCCAACCUAAUAAACAGUUAAGUUUUAUCUUUUUAUUCUAUUAUACGUUCCCUUAUUCCUAUCUUUGUGGGGUAUUGGAAUAACCAAACUAACCACACUAAAUAUCAGAAAUAGGGGACAAGUAUAAGGUGGUAUGAUGCAACAAACAAAAAGACAAUCCGGAAAAAGACAAAAGAAAAAGCUUAAGGGAACACAAAGGCCCUCAGGGCACAUUAACUCAAUUUACUACUGACCGUCGUCAGUCGGUUCUAUGCUAUAUGCAAAGAUUAAAUUGGGUUAAAUAAUCUUUAAGUCAUAUAUUGCCCUUUGAUGCUGCUCUCUUAUGUUGUUUUCACCUCUAUUCUAGAAGUCCUCUAAUCUUUAGGAGGCCCAGUGUUUAUACUAGCCUCUGCAGAGUGUAAACAAACAUAAACAAAAGUUGUGUGUUUGGAUACUGGCUUGCUAUGGAGGCUUGGCGUUACUUGAAAAGUACAUACCAAAAAGAGUUGUGCUGGGGAAAAAACUGUGGAUGAAAACCAGGGGUUUUCAUUGGUAUGUACUUUUCAAGUAACGCCAAGCCUCCAUAGCAAGCCAGUAAAAACCACAUGCUGAUAAGUAGCAUUAACAACGAAACAGCUGUCCAUGAGUGGUUUACUGGCUUUGCUCCUCUUCCUGAGUUGUGUUUUUAAAGCUGUUGUAUACAGCAGACACAUACUCCAAGGAAUCCAUGUAUAAAGUGUAAUUAUGAGGCAAAAAUGCGCUAAUUUGCAUACGUCUACCCAGAAUCCCUUGCAGUAGUGAGAGCACUGUUAAAGUUGCAAGUCUUAUGGCUUGACUAGUGUGUAUUUGAAGUUUAGCAAUGUUUUUUAUAUAUAUAUAUAUAUAUAUAUAUAUAUCUCAAGUUCUCCCCUACAUUUCUUAGAACAUGUACAUAUUCUGACAGUACCAAUAUAUUGUGAAUUACUGUAUAUAGCAAUUGUUGUGUUAUAGAACAAUGGUAAUAUAGAAACAUAGAAUGUGACGGCAGGUAAGAGCCAUUCAGCCCAUCUAGUCUGCCCAAUUUUCUAAAUACUUUCAUUAGUCCCUAGUCUUAUCUUAUAGUUAGGAUAGCCUUAUGCCUAUCCCACGCAUGCUUAAACUCCUUUACUGCGUUAACCUCUACCACUUCAGCUGGAAGGCUAUUCCAUGCAUCCACUACCCUCUCAGUAAAGUAAUACUUCCUGAUAUUAUUUUUAAACCUUUGUCCCUCUAAUUUAAGACUAUGUUCUCUUGUUGUGGUAGUUUUUAUUCUUUUAAAUAUAGUCUCCUCCUUUACUGUGUUGAUUCCCUUUAUAUAUUUAAAUGUUUCUUUCAUAUCCCCCCUGUCUCGUCUUUCGUCCACCAAGCUAUACAUGUACCAAAGAAUAAUUGACCUACAUCAAAAAAUUACAUUGAUUGUAACCAAUAUAAUAUGGUCACAAAUGGUCUGUAAUGCUUUUAAUCUAAAUUUAAAGUGUAUCCAUUUCUCCUCAGCUUCACGCUCUUGCAUCCGGUGUCAAAGCCUAUGCAACAGAAAUAUGUGCCAAUGGAGUGGAGGUGUGUCGGAAGGCCUGUGGGGGUCACGGAUAUUCUCUUUUUAGUGGUCUCCCUACCCUGUACACAAAGGUAGUUGCAGCAUGCACUUAUGAAGGAGAAAAUACGGUUCUACACCUGCAGACGGCAAGGUAUCCAUGUUGAACAUGGUUUUUGACCAGUAUGUAUAGUGGUGCUCAAAAGUUUGCAUACCCUGGCAGAAAUUGUGAAAUUUUGGCAUUGAUCUAUUUGGAUUUUGCCAAGGCAUUUGAUACAGUUCCACACAAUAGAUUAGUGUUCAAACUCAAAGAAAUUGAUGUAGAUGAAAAUGCUUGUUCUUGGGUAGAACAUUGGCUUAAAAAUAGAGUACAAAGAAUUGUCAUUAAUGGUAAAUUUUCAAGCUGGACAGAGGUGGCAAGUGGUGUCCCUCAGGGUUCUGUUCUGGGACCCCUUCUAUUUAACAUGUUUAUAAAUGAUCUUGAAAAAAGCAGUGAGUGUCAUGUUUCAGUGUUUGCAGAUGACACAAAACUCUAAAGUAAUACAAUGUGAGCAAAAUAUUACUUUGCUGCAGAGGGAUUUAGAUAGACUGGGGGACUGGGCACUCAAAUGGCAGAUGAAAUUUAAUGUUGAAAAAUGCAAAGUUAUGCACUUCGGCGUAAAGAAUACACAAGCAAUGUAUACCCUUAAUGGAAGCGAAUUAGGAAUUACAACACACGAAAAGGACUUGGGAAUUGUUAUGGACAACAAACUAUGCAACAAUGUGCAAUGUCAAUCAGCAGUGGCUAAGGCCAGUAAGGUAUUGUCAUGCAUGAAAAAGGACAUUAAUUCUAGGGAUGAGAAUAUAAUUUUGCCUCUGUAAAUCACUGGUAAGACCACAUAUUGAAUAUGCUGUGCAAUUUUGGGCACCUGUUGUAAAGAAGGAUACUAUGGCACUAGAAAAAGUGCAGAGGCGGUCUACAAAAUGAAUACAAGGAAUGGAACAUAUCAGCUAUGAAGAAAGGUUAACAAAUUUAAAACUCUUUAGUUUAGAAAAACGUUGUCAGAGAGGGAAUAUGAUAACAUUAUAGAAAUAUAUUCGGGGCCAAUACAAACCAUUGUGUGGAAAUCUAUUCACAAACCGGACUUUACAUAGGACACGAGGCCAUGCGUUUAGACUGGAAGAAAGAAGAUUUCGUCUAAGGCAAAGGAAAGGUUUUUUUUUUACUGUAAGAACAAUAAAGAUGUGUAAUUCUCUGCCUGAAGAAGUGGUUUAAUCAGAGUCCAUACAGAUGUUCACACAGCAACUAGAUGCAUAGAUACAUUCAAGGAUAUAAUUUUUCAAUGUAGGGUAAUAGCUGCUUGAUGCAAUGAUAAAUCUGACUGCCAUUCUGGGGUCAAGAAGGAUUUUUUUUCCUGGUUUGUUACAAAAUUGGAAGUGCUUCAGACUAGGUUUUUUUUUGCCUUCUUUUGGAUCAACAGCAAAAAACAAAUGUGAGAAAAGGCUGAAUUUGAUGGACGCAAGUCCAUCUUUUAAGAAGAGGGGGGUAAGAAGAAGGGGGAGUAAGAAGAACAAGGAGGGGUAAGAAGAACAAAGGGGGGUAAGAACAAAGGGGGGUAGAAGAACAAAGGGGAGUAAGAAGAAGGAGGGAGUAAGAAGAAGGAGGAGUAAGAAGAAGGGGGUAAGAAGAAGAAGGGGGAAGAAGAAGGGGGGAGUAAGAAUGGGAAGAAGAAGGGGGUAAGAAGAGGGGGGUUAAGAAGAACAAGGGGGAGUAAGAAUGCAUCCAUAUGCGUUCUAAAACCAGGAGAAGUUGGGCAUGGAUGGUGAACUGAUUUGGUGGUGCAAUGGGCCACUUGACUGGUUUUGCACCCAGGCCUAAGGAUGCCAGCCCUCCCCUGCAAUUGGAUGCACUGAGCAGGCUACAUAGUGGGCCAUGGGGAGCAGAAAAGAACCGUCAAAAGACCUGCGUAACAAGGUAGUGGAACUUUAUAAAGAUGGAAAAGGAUAUAAAAAGAUAUCCAAAGUCUUGAAAAUGCCAGUCAGUGCUGUUCAAUAACUUAUUAAGAAGUGGAAAAUUUGGGCAUCUCUUGAUACGAAGCUAAGGUCAGGUAGACCAAGAAAGAUUUCAGCCACAACUGCCAGAAAAUUGUUCAGGAUACAAAGAAAAACCCUCAGGUAACCUGAGGAGAAAUACAGGCUGCUCUGGAAAAAUACAGUGUGUUUGUUUCAAGGAGCACAAUAUGACAAUACUUGAACAAAAAUGAGCUGCAUGGUCGAGUUGCCAGAAAGAAGCCUUUACUGUGCCAAUGCCACAAAAAAGCCCAGUUACAAUAUACCCGACAACACCUUGACAUGCCUCACAGCUUCCACAAAAAAAGCUGGUUACAAUAUGCCCGAGGGGCAGGGGCGUACCUGGAGCAUUUGGCACCAGGGCGAACCUAUAUUUGAUGAGGGGAAUGAUCAUGAGGGGGGUGAUCAUGAGAGGGGGUGAUGAGGAGAGGGAGGGGGUGAUGAGGAGAGGGAGGGGGGGUGAUUGUGAGAGGGUGAUGAUGAGAGGGAGGGGGGUGAUUGGUGGCAGUGUGGGGUGAUUGUGAGAGGAAUGGGGGGUGAUGUGAUGAGGGAGGGUGAUGGGGGUGAUUGAUGAUGACAGGGAGUGCAUGCGAGACACAUGGUCUGCAGCUCUGCACAUUGCGGAGCUGCAGACCGGUCUCGGCAAUGGGUGCAGGAAGGGCAUUGCAGUCUGUCCUGGGCACCCCCCUAGUGAGUGGCACCCGGGGCAGACCGCCCCUCCCCCCCGCCCUCCCCUUAGUACGCUUUGCCAAGGGGUUAACAAGGCCUAUAGUAAAAAGAAUACCAUCCCCACUGUGAAGCAUGGUGGUGGCUCACUGAUGUUGGGGGCGGGGGGUGAGCUCUAAUGGCAAGGGGAAUCUUGUGAAAAUUGAUGGCAAGAUGAAUGCAGCAUGCUAUCAGAAAAUACUUUGCAUUGCACGAAGGCUGCGCAUUGGACACUCUAGGACUUUAUACGCAUGACAAUGACCCUAAGCACAAGGCAAUGUUGACUCUCCAAUGGUUACAUCAGAAAAAGGUGAAGGUUCUGGAGUGUCCAGCAGUCUCCUGACCUUAGUAUCAUUGAGCAACUAUGGAGAGAUCUCAAAUGUGCUGUUCAUGCAAGACGACCAAAGACUUUGCAUGACCUGGAGGCAUUUUGCCAAGAUGAACGGGCAGCUAUACCACCUGCAAGAAUUAGGGGCCUCAUAGACAACUAUUACAAAAGACUGCAUGCUGUCAUUAAUGCUAAAGGGGCAAUACACCAUGUUAAGAACUAAGGGUAUGCAGACUUUUGAACAGGGGUCAUUUCAUUUUAUUUUGCCUUAUGAUUGUGUCAUUCUGUUAUAACCUACAGUUGAAUAUGAAUCCAAUAAGAAAUGUGUUUUGCCUGCUUACUCAUGUUUUCUUUAAACAAAUGGUACAUAUAUUACCAAUUCUCCAAGGGUAUGCAAACUUUUGAGCACAACUGUAAGUUCAGACUACUAAAACUACUAAUUCUGCUAAAUAAUUUUUUCACCCAUGAUUCCUUUAGGUUUUUGAUCAAAUGUUUUGCUGGCGCCCAGUCUGGACAGCAGUUACCUCCCAUUACGAUGUAUUUAUCAUUUCCACCCUCUGGUCAUUGUCCUGCAAGCAACCAUUUGGACUUUGUGAAUCCUGAUGUAUAUGUGGAGGCUUAUCAGCACAGAGCAUUUAGGUGGGGAUUGCGCUGUAAUGUAUUUACAUUUCAUGUGUAUAGCAAAACCCAGACAAUAUGAAGUACUGUUCCUGCAAAUUCAUUAUAGUGACAUAUUAUUUCCAUAUGGUAUUUGGUAUCAUUAGCCUAGAUUCAUAAAAGUAUUCCUGCACUCCAAAUAUUCCACAGAGCUGUACAAAGGAUAUGUAAGCAUACAAGUAAGGAAUGCAAUUCCUAGGGAGUUUAAGGUUUUAAUUCUUAUUUAUUUUAAAGUUUAUUCGCUGAACACUAAAUUGCGAUCAACUGAACAAUGAAUUGCAAUAUUUUGGUUAAAAUAGCCCAGCUGUAACUAUUUUGGAGUUGGAGAUUUUUUCCAAAUCAACUGUUUGGUGUUCACUUUACAACCAAAUAGUUUUUAGAAAAUAAAUAUUUUACAAGGUUGUUUACUAAAAUAGAAAUUGUGGUAAAUUCAAAGUUAAUUUAAAAUUUAAGGCCAAUAUAGCUGAACUGAAAAGAUCCUCUUUGUCAGCCAUGCUUCCAGUUUGGCUAUUUUGAUUUAAACCCCUUAAGGACCGGCCUGUUUUUGCGAUGUUGUACAUUUGCGACCAGGCAUCUUUUUACACUUUUGUGGUGUUUGUGUUUAGCUGUAAUUUUCCGCGCUCUCAUUUACUGUUCCCAUACAAAUUAUAUAUUGUUUUUUUUCAGGACAGAAAGGGCUUUCUUUACAUACCAUUAUUUAUAUAAUCUCAUGAAAAAAAAAUACAUGUUUUUUGACUUUUACUUGAAAAAUCUUUUACUCAUCUACAAAAGCAAAUGAAAAAAACUGCUAAAUAGAUUCAAAAUUGUGUCCUAAGUUUAAAAAUAUCCAGUGUUUACGUGCUUUUUUGCUUUUUUGUUUGCAUGUUAUAGGGCUAUAGGUAAAAGUAGGAUAUUGCGGUUUCAAAACAUACAUUUUUAAAAUUUAUCAUUAGUGACAUUGUAACACUAUUAUCGGUCAUAAAUCUCUGAAUAACACCCCACAUGUACAUAUUUUUUUUUUUUAAAGUAGACCACCCAGGGUAUUCAAAAUGGGGUAUGUCCAGACUGUUUUAGUAGCCACUUAGUCGCAAACACUGGCCAAAUUUAGCGUUCAUAUUUGUUUGUGUGUGAAAAAAGUUAAAAAAACUAAAUUGAAUGCUAAUUUUGGCCAGUGUUUGUGACCAAGUGGUUACUAAAAAAGACUGGACAUACCCCAUUUGCAAUACCUUGGGUUGUCUUCUUUGGCAAAUGGUAUGCCAUCAUGGGGGUAAUUCUCAUUCCUGGGCUACCAUACGCUCUCAAAGGCAACGUAACCAACCUGACCAUUUUCAAUGUAAAAAUAUUUGACCCAUAUAUUUGGCCCUGUAACUAAGAGGGGACUGCGAAACUUAGCAAAGGAGUCCCCCAUGAGUCUGUCAUGGCUUACCUCCAAAACUCAAACCUACCCCCAUAUUAUCAGACACACAUUAAAACACAAAAUCUGUAACCUCAUGUUUUCAGCCCUGAUCAAUUGCUGUCACAUAUAUAAUAUCUCCGAGAACUUUAAAAUCUGUUAUAAGAUAUAGGACAUCAUUUGCUACAAAUACUUGGGAAAUUAACAUUUAUUUAAAUGCAUUUUCUAGACUCAUUGCAGCAGCUGCACAUAAAUUGCAAAGCUUGGUCCAGUCUGGCAGUGAACAGUAUCUGGCAUGGAAUAACACAUCGGUGGAGCUGGUGACGGCCUCUAUAGUAAGUAUACAUUAGCUUCAUGAAGUUUUGGUGUAUAGAUCAUGUCCCUGCAGUCUCACUGCUCAAUUCACUGCCAUUGAGGAGUUAAAUCACUUUGUUUAUAUAGCCCUAGGAACACCUCCCUGCAUGUUACUUAAUAAACACUUCCUGUAAAGAAUCAUCUAAUGUUUAUACUUCCUUUAUUGCAAAUACUGUUUAAUUUAGAAUAUCUGAUAUGUUGCUCUGUAACUAGCUUGCUAGACCCUGGACCAUCUUGCGUGUUAUUAAAUUUCAAUAUACAGAGAAGGAGAUCCAAACCUAUAAAGUAAGUUACAUCUGAUUGAAAGUGAAACCAUUUUUUUUAAUGCAUGAUGUGUCAGUCAUAGCCAGAGGAGUUGUGGGUAGGGCUGCAUUAACAGAAACAAAAAUGUAACUCCUAAAUGGCAGAUAAUUGAGCAAUGAAACUUCAGAGGCAUGAUCUUUACAAUAAAACUGCUUCAUUAAGCUAAAAUUGUUUUCGUGACUAUAGUGUCCCUUUAAGAUUCAGAUCUGGCAUGUUAAACUUGCCAUUUACUUUGUAUUUGUCCCUAUGCCCUCGUUAUACCGGUAGGACUUUAUACCCUCAGCACAAGGCACCUUUGUGACAGGUUACAUGGGUCUUAAUGCAGCACUGUCACUUUGUGGGUUUUUUUUUCUACAUAUAAGAGAAAUUACUUUGUUCUUAUUUUUGAUUUAUCUUUUGCAAUAUUUGGCAAGAUACAGUUACAAUUGUUAAUGUAAUUUAUCCAAAAACCAUCAGUCAAAAGAAGGGAAAACUGCAGAUAUCAUUGGCACAGGAAAACAAAAUGGUGGUGCCCAGAUAAUGAAAUCCAUUGCAAGAAAAAAAAAAGAUAAUAAAUAUAAAUAAAGGCUGGGAGUAUAAUUAAUAAUAUGCAAUGGGAUAAAAUGAGAAAAGCUUGGCUGCUUUAACUAGCCAGCCACCACAAAUCCAUUUGAAUGCACUCUUAUCCUCCAAGACAAAUUAGACAUGAAACUUUUUGACUGCAGUUGCUCUCCAUAAUAGGAGAUAAAACUAUGCUAUGGCAGCUGGUGAAGCAUGAAGGGAAGAGGGUGCUUAAUUUAAUAAGUUACAGCAGGUGUAUCUGGUCUGUCUAUGUAAAGAAAGUGAGACAGCUGGUGUCCCUUGCCUAGCCCUGGGAUAUGUUUGGCUAAUUACUUCAGGUAUCUGGACUAAUUCACGGGAAGGAGAGCUGGGGUCUGUGUUAGGAGUUGCAGGCUAGCAAGAUUGUGUAUUGCAGAGUACAGAAUAUUUGAUAGAGUCCUAACCUCAACAUAUGAGGAAAGGGAUUUAGGGGUGAUUAUUUCUGAUGACUUAAAGGUAGGCAGACAAUGUAAUAGAGCAGCAGGAAAUGCUAGCAGAAUGCUUGGUUGUAUAGGGAGAGGUAUUAGCAGUAGAAAGAGGGAAGUGCUCAUGCCAUUGUACAGAACACUGGUGAGACCUCACUUGGAGUAUUGUACACAGUACUGGAGACCGUAUCUUCAGAAGGAUAUUGAUACCUUAGAGAGGGUUCAGAGAAGGGCUACUAAACUGGUUCAUGGAUUGCGGGAUAAAACUUACCAGGAAAGGUUAAAGGAUCUUAACAUGUAUAGCUUGGAGGAAAGACGAGACAGGGGGGAUAUGAUAGAAACAUUUAAAUAUAUAAAGGGAAUCAACACAGUAAAGGAGGAGACUAUAUUUAAAAGAAGAAAAACUACCACAACAAGAGGACAUAGUCUUAAAUUAGAGGGACAAAGGUUUAAAAAUAAUAUCAGGAAGUAUUACUUUACUGAGAGGGUAGUGGAUGCAUGGAAUAGCCUUCCAGCUGAAGUGGUAGAGGUUAACACAGUAAAGGAGUUUAAGCAUGCGUGGGAUAGGCAUAAGGCUAUCCUAACUAUAAGAUAAGACUAGGGACUAAUGAAAGUAUUUAGAAAAUUGGGCAGACUAGAUGGGCCGAAUGGUUCUUAUCUGCCGUCACAUUCUAUGUUUCUAUGGGACAGCUCCAAUCACCAGAGUUUCCUGGGUUGGCACCAAUCAGUGUCACCAUUCGCAGAAUACAAUGGCUGGCAGAGAUAAAGGCAGAUUUUUAAAAUCAAAUUAUUCUGAAUAAAAAAAAGGAAAGAAAUAAAAAAAAACUUUGCGAAGUUGUACAAGCAUGUCAAAGAACAUUGAAAUAAGCCUAUUGAUCCCAAUGGUUUCUAUGGCAAAUACUCCGCUUUCAGAAAAUCACACCACAUCACAGGACUAAGAUCCCAGCACUAAAUGUCCCCCCUAAAACACAAUGUAAGAGGCAAUAGUUUAACUGGCUAGUAUCUAAUGUUCUUUAUUAAAAAAUUUUGGGUGAAUAAGCUAAAUAAAUUAACGGUGCACAUCAUAUAGACAAUGUAUCUAGCUAUGAACAUUAUUUAUAAAACAUUGGGUAAUUUUUUUUAUUAAAAAAAAAAAGGGGGGGUUAUGUAUGGAAUAUGUCACGUUUUGUCUCAGUAUUAUCUGGCCUGGUUACAAAGAGAUCAGAAACAUCUAUAUAUAAAUGUAUAACAUUGUACAUAAACAGCCAGAUUUGGAACAUGCUAAUUGCCCCUCACAAAAUACUGAGAUUUCUGGAACCGCCCCCAUUCCUCCUCGGAUUAGAAACUAAGAUGAUCAUAAAAAGUGUAUAUAAUCCGAGAAAACCUAAAAAACUGUGGAAUACAGUUUGAGAGCCAAAUCGAAUUUGUAGCGGAUUUACAUUUUCUUUACCAGAAGCUAUCUUGGAACUGGUAAUAUUAGGAAGUACUGGUACUUCACUUGUGUUAAUUUUCUCCCUUUUAAUAUGUCUGUUCAAAUUUGUUUGUAAAAUAUUUUGUAUGCACUAUUUUUUUUUCAUAAUAAAUGUUCCUUUUUAACUUCUGCCUUGUUCUGGGAGAAGAAUCACAUUACUGCAGAGACCUAGGUAAUAGUACUGUAAUGCAGUUUUCAUCUAUGUACACCAAAACAAAACAAGUAAAAAGGAGCUUGACCAAUGUCUAAAAAAUGUAUGAAAAGAUAAAUAUUAGACUCUGAAUGUUGGUGUUAGCUGGAAGAUAACACAAGAUGAGGUAAUGUAUGCUCUUUGAUAGAACGCUGCACACCACUUAUAUUAAUGGUCAGAUAACAAAUCCAAAGCCAAUUGGCUAAGCCUCUACCUACUCAGAAAAAUGGAUGAUAUAUACAGAAAUAGAUGAAGGAUAUAAAUUCCUCCAAUUGUCCUAAUCUCUGACUUUUUUGGGUGAUGUCUAUAUCAGGAGUUGGAUUUUCUUAUAUCACACUGAGUAGUUGUCUAGGAUACAUGGAGCAGAUGGCCGAUGUAAUUGAUUCUACAAAAUCGAAAUAUAGAGCUAGUAGAAGGUUGUUUGUGAUUACAAAUUGUUGCAAUCUCUCUUCUCCUAAUUUUGGUUAAUGCAAUUCAAUAUAGGAAACACUGUUUGAGAGAAGAAACUGGGCCAGAUGGCUGUCAGUCUUAGGCUUCUAUAUUAUCACAGUGUGGAAAUAUGUUGCAGAACGGAGAGAGUGGAUGCAUUUUAGGUAGCCAUGACCCAGGAUGUUUGAAUGCAUUGGAUGCAUUUUAGGCAGCCAUGACCCAGGAAGGAUCUCUAACAGCCAUCUGAGGAGUGGCCAGUGAAGUUAUCACUAGGCUGUAAUGUGUAAACACUGCAUUUUCUCUGAAAAUACAGUGUUUACAGCAAAAAGCCUGAAGGUAAUGUCGUGCGGUAACACUUCCAGGUUCCGCACUCCGCUGUGCGGAACUGGACCCCGCCCCCCUCUGACUCAGCUCUGACGGUAUUUAGGGAGACCACGCCAGAGAGAUGGGGCUUGGUGAUACUGGGAGCUACUUCCGCCAGACUUACCUCUCCACAGGCUCUGGCAAUGUGGGUCCUAUUUCCGAGUAUGCACGCCGGCUCCUGGGACACGCCGGCUCUACAAACUCUGAUGUCGUCCUAGCCUUCUGGACUAAGACAAGUAUACUUCGUGCCAUAGAGGAUUACUGGAGAACAGAAACUCACUUCCUUACAAGUGGACCAUAUCGCUGAACUAUUGGAGGACUACUCACAUUAACCUUAAGUAUAUCUUUCAGCUAUUUGUCUACAUUAUCAUUUAAUAAUGAACUAAUGCUUGCUUACUAAAUCUUCACUGCUUCAAGCUACUAAUUAUAUGGAGGACAACUCCCAUCAUGCUUAUUCACAAUGAACUGUUUCUUGCUUUGCAAAUACACUCAGUGCUUCAAGCUACUAAUUGUAUGGAGGACAACUCCCAUCAUGCUUAUUAACUAUGAACUGUUCCUGCUUUGCAAAUAGUCUCAACUACUUGCUUAAAGUUACUAUUGAAGAUUAUUCUCAUUAACCUAAAGAAUGUUACUUAAUGCAUCUCUGAGGAAAUACUUAUUAAUGAACUGUGUUGUUGAUUACUUGCACUUCCUCUUAUUGGAUUAUUGCCUAAAUGCAAUUCAUUUAAGUUUAACACUUAUUAAACCUUCGGUUGAAUCAAGUUACCAGUGAUUCUCUCUUUUCUUAAAGCUACAGUAUUGAUACUUUAAAGAUUCUCCGUUUCUUCACUAUUGUAAUUAGGGAGUUUUACAAGCUGCAGUUGAGUUCCAAUCCAAAUCACCCAAGUAGCGUAACAAUGAUUCUACUCACCAGAACAAAUCCAAUAAGCUGUAGUUGUUCUAGUGACUAUAGUGUCCCUUUAAAGCAACUGUUACUAAUUAGUAUCUUCUUUAUACUCUGUCCGUUCUGCAACAUAUUUCUACACUGUGAUAAUAUAGAAGCUUUAGCCUGACAGCCAUCUGGCCCAGUUUCUUCUCUCAAACAGUGUUUCCUAUAUUGAAUUGCAUUAACCAAAAUUAGGAGAAGAGAGAUUGCAACAAUUUGUAAUCACAAACAACCUUCUACUAGCUCUAUAUUUCGAUUUUGUAGAAUCAAUUACAUCGGCCAUCUGCUCCAUGUAUCCUAGACAACUACUCAGUGCGAUAUAAGAAAAUCCAACUCCUGAUAUAGACAUUACCCAAUAAAGUCAGAGAUAAUGACAAUUGGAGGAAUUUAUAUCCUUAAUCUAUUGCUAUAUAUCAUCCAUUUUUCUGAGUAGGUAGAGGUUUAGCCAAUUGGCUUUGGAUUUGUUAUCUGACCAUUAAUAUAGGUGGUGUGCAGCGUUCUAUCAGAGAGCAUACAUUACCUCCUCUUGUGUUAAGCAUUUGCUUGGGGCCCCCUGGACCCUGUCCCCCUUCUCAGGCAUGCAAUCACGUCCUCCACCUCAACGCAGUGGCAGGCCUAAAGUAGAGAGGUGCAAGAAUCUUUGGGGGUCUCCCUGUUGCACGGGUGAUUAAAAGGUAGAUCCCCAUCUGUCGUGCAACUCCAGAAAUGCAUUGACAGCUGGGGCUCUACCAUUUACCCAUGUUUGCAGGUCUGUAUUUAGCACUAAGCAGUUUUUGUGUGUUUGAAUGUAAACAGGUUUUUGUAUAGAAUAUGUUUGCAUGUGGUGUUGGCGUGAUUGCAAGCAUGUAUUUGUGUAGUGUUGGUUUUUGAAUGCAGGGGUGUAUUUACACAUAAUUUUGGUGUGUAACACAGACAUGUGUUUGUACGUAGUGUUGAAAUUUGAAUGCAGGGGUGUAUUUGUGUGUAGUGUUAGUGUGUGAAUGCUGAGAUGUAUGCACAUAUACACACACACACAAAUAUAUACACACUGAAAUGCGCGCAGAUACACACAGACAUACUGACACACAUACACAGACAUGCUGACCUACAAACAUACUGACACAUACACAGAAAUACUGACACACAGACAUGCUGACACACACACAGAUAUACUGACACACAAAGACAUACUGACACACACAGAUGACACACAGACAUACUGACACAGACAUACACUUUAAAACCCACCCUCCAGUUUCCUACCUUUCCUGAUUAUGGCUGAAGGUGUUGGGAGUUGGGGUCUAGUGCUCUCGGCCAGCCCCUUCCAAUCUGCCUACUCUUCUUUCCUGCGCGCUCCUCUCUUUGUGGGAGUAAGUGAUGCGCGGCUGUCACUUCCUCCCAGCCUGCUGCCGUAAAAAAGCAAGUGGCCCGCUCGUGCUGUUAAAGCGCCUCAGCGUGCGACCGAGCCCCUGCUGACAGAACCCCACCGGGUGGUCCUUUGUGCAUGGGCCACCCGGUGGGCCUCCUUAGUGUGCGGAUUACCGGUGCAGCUGGCCAGUUUGCCCCGCGUUAAAGACGGCCCUGCGUAUACGAGCUAUUAUAUUGUAUAUGUUAAUGAGUAGUUUAUGGUAUUGUGUAUGAUACAUAUGAAUGUGGGCUGUGUAUGGGGGCUGCUUGUGGAAUUGUGUGUGUGGAUGGAUAUGUCACAGUGUGUGUUUGGUAGUGUGUGGGUACUCUUUGGGGUAUUGCAUGUGGGGUUGUGUGCAUGUAUGUGGAUUGUUAGUGGUGUUUCGUUUGUGAGGAUUGUGUGCAUGUUUGUGUGUGGGCUGUCCGUAUUAUUUGUAUGAGGGGAGGGUUAUUCUGCAUUUCUGUGUAUAUCUAGCAGUGUGGGUAGCUUCCAAUGGGGACUAGGCCGACCAGGUACAUGUCAAGGAUAGGAGCUGCAACAGCAACUGCGAGAUGCUCUACUACAGUGUAGAUUCCUAUUCACAAGUGCUGGGAGGAAGUGAGGUAGUGAUCUCAGAUCUACGUGCUGCAAUGCAUAAAUUGAGGAUUGUCCUUCACCAACUUUUCGGAUUAGCAGAUAUCUGAAGUUUUACUGGGACUCCUGAUAGGCAAGAUCCUGUUUGGCUCUAGCAGCCUUGAGUGCCGUGCAAAGACACCAUGAGUGCCGUGCAUGGCAUUAGUGCCGUAGGUUGCCUACCCCUGCCCUAGACACUACUGGAGUGUUUUUCUGGUUUAGCAGCUUCAGAUUAGGCAAACAGGAUAAACAGACCUCCCUGCCCUGUAAACUGUUCCAUUAUAUACGAUAAAUAUUACAAAUCAAAAAGCAGGUCCUUUUAAAGUGCAAUUGCUCUCAAGACACAUAUAAUAAACCAUAAAUAAAAAAGUGCAAAAUAUUGCUCAAGUGCUCUGUGAUAUAUUGCUUCUCAAACAAUAUUAUGUGCAAAAACAGCAAUCCCGUGCUAAUGUAUGAAAAUGUAAGUAAAAAGCUCUAGUGCCUAUAGUAAUAGAAAAAGCACUUACACUGAAUAAUUCACUUAUUGAAAACACACAAUAAGGAUGUCUCCUCCAAUAUUCACAGAAUCAUAAACUGUAAACAAGAAAAAAAGAGAAUAUAUGGUGUAAUACAGUAUGCAUAAAAUAUGUAAAAAGGCUAAUAUUGAAAACCCACUCACAAGUGGAGAGCAUAGAAGCCUGCUCUGUCAGCGCGUAUAUAUACACACACUCCAAUCCAAUCCAAUAAAUAGCAGCAGCAAGGAAAAGAAUGUGGCAGCAAGUGACUUCUUUAUUUCUGAAAAUAUUCUUAAAAUAACUCUAUGCCCAUCACCUCCCGACUGGACCUCCUUCCCUGUGUUCAGAUACAGUCCUCCCUCCUGUUCGCUGACGGUUAAGCAAAGACACGGGCUGUGAAUGUCCCAAACACUUCCUGGUGGGCAGAGCUAUGUCUGUGACACUGUGCGUGAUGACGCGUUUCGCCUGGAAUUGGCUUCCACAGAUCACUCCCAAAGUCCUAUUAUAACCAAUCAUUGGUUCCUACUCAAAACUUCAUGCAAAUGAGUCCUUAAAGGGACACUAUAGGCACCCAGACCACUUCAGCUCAAUGAAGUGGUCUGGGUGCCAGGUCCCUCAGGUUUUAACCCUUAAUCCAGCCUCUAGUGGCUGUCUUCCGGACAGCCACUAGAGGAGCAUCUGCGACGCUGGAGGCGAAUUUCGCCUCCAUCGCGCCGAGCGUCCAUAGGAAAGCAUUGAGACAUUGGACAAGGGAGCUGACGUCGGACAGGGAGGAGAGGUCACCAGCGCUGAGGGAGCCGGUGCUGGAUUAAGUAACUGAAGGGGUUUUAACCUUUAGCACCACGGGAGGGGGAACCUGAGGGUCGAGGCACCCUCAGGGCACUAUAGUGUCAGGAAAACCGCUUUGUUUUCCUGACACUAUAGUGACCCUUUAAUGAGAGUUCAUCCCAAAUCAAAGUGGUAAAUCUACUAAACAUUGUACAAUGUUUAGUAGAAGUAAAGGUGUUUUCAUCUCUACAUUUGCUAAAUGGUGUUUUGUGGGUUUUUAAUUUAAAUUGGUUGGGGUAACCGAAGACCCACAUGUCCUUGCGGUGGCAACCUUUGUAAAAGAAAUGGCAUGGGUGUUGUUAAUAGGGAUUUUUGAAAUCAUUAUAUUGGUUCUGCUACAGACAAAUAGUGAUUUUUAUUUUAAUCAUUUCCCCUACUGAACUAAACCAUGUGUCCACUUAAAGAAGUGUUGGAAUAUAAAUUAAUGCACGUAUAUCUUCGAAGAUUAAAGGGACACUGUGGGCAAUGUAAUUACCUCAUUUUAUUGAAGAGUUCAUACUCUGGAUUGCCCUGGCAUCAUCCUUCCAUUGAGUAUGAAGGACAUGUGUAAACUCUGCCUGAUCCAUGCCUCCAGUACUGGCCUGGCUGUAGAGGCCAGGGACUCUUAUUUAAUGUUAAUCUGCUUGAUACUGAUCUAAAGCUGAAUUGUCAGUGCCAGGGAACUCCAAGCAUUAUAACCAAGUCAAUGACAUGAAAUAGUUCUAGUGCCAAUAGUGUUUAAGCCAUGUUUUAAAUAUUAUAAACAACAGACAAAAAAACUAAGUGAUAUAAAAAGUUCAAAACAUAAUUAAGUAUAAUGCCCUGCUCAGGAAAAGAUCUAAUAGGAGCCAAGCAAAAACUAAUAGAAUCAGAAAAUAUAUGGCAAUGGCUGCUACAUUAACUCUCAAUGACCAGUGGGCACCAGGAAGGGGGGAGCAAAAAACAAGCAAAAAAACUAAACUAAACCACAAGAGAGGCAUCAGAGCAUAAACAUAAUGUAAAUGUAAGAAAAUAUAAAAAGAAUAGAUAACAAUAGAGUGGGCAGCAAAUAGUAAAAUGCAAUAGCCCUAAUAACACAUUAACUAUUCUAACAUUGUGUCAUUCUGAUUGGACAAUACUGCACUGUUUUCCAGGCUCAUACACACUACAAGACUGUGAAAAUUUUUGUUGAUGCACUGAAUUCGGUUACACGAGAACCAGAAAUCCAGAAGGCAUUAAAGAGUCUCUGUGACUUGUACGCACUGCAUGGAAUAUUUACCAAUGCUGGAGAUUUCCUACAGGAUGGAUAUUUGUCUGGAAAACAACUGGAUAUGGUGACAACAGCCUACCUUAACCUCUUGCCUGUGAUCCGGUGAGAUUCCAAAAUGUAAAAGUAUUGAAAUAAAUGAAUUCCUCACUACUGCCACAUCUCAUGCAAUCCUGUUUUACAGGAAGGACGCAGUUCUUUUAGUAGAUGCUUUUGACUACACGGAUGCAGAGCUAUUAUCAGCGAUUGGCAGUUAUGAUGGAAAUGUCUAUCACAACCUUCUAGAAUGUGUUCAGAAAAAUCCAGAUAACAAGAAGGUAAAUUCUAUAUUGGAAUUUUAUUUUGCACAAUAAAAAACAUACAGUGAGGGGAAAAAAGUAUUUGAUCCCCUGCUGAUUUUGAACGUUUGCCCACUGACAAAGAAAUGAUCCUGCAAAAACCCUGCAAUGGUAGACUAUACUCACCAGAACAACUACAUUAAGCUGUAGUUGUUCUGGUAACUAUAGUGUCCCUUUAUGUUUCAUGUUUGUGCGUGCAAAGGGGUAGGGACUGUAGAGGGUGCCGAGAGGAAGGGGUUGCAGAGGGUACAGUGGGAAGGGACUGUAAAGGGUACAGGGGGGCAAUAGUGGGUGCAGAGGAGGGACAGGCUGUAGUGGGUGCAAAGGGUAAUAGGUGCUGUUGUCUUUGCAGGGGGAAAUAGGAGCUGUAGUAAGUGCAUAGGGUAUAGGGGCUGUAGUGGGUGCAUAGGGUAUAGGGGAUGUAGUGGGUGCCUGGGGCUAUAGUGGGCGUAGGGGCUGCACUUGGAGCAGGGGGGUUCCACUUGGAGCAGGGGGUAAGGGAUCCGCUUGGAGCAGGGGGGUAAGGGCUCCACUUGGAGCAGGGGGUAAGGGAUCCGGUUGGAGCAGGGGGGGGUAAGGGGGCUGCAGAGGGAGAAUGUGGGCAUGGGGUGCAGUGAGAGCAGGAGGGUAGGUACUCUGAUGAGGCAGUAGAGGGGCAAAUUAUAUGAUAAAACAUUUUUAAUUAAAAAAAAUAUUAAUAUGACUUAAAAAAAUAAAGCCUUACCUCUCUGGUGGUCCUCUUCUGAAGGAACCUCACUGAUCCAGGGCACUCAAUGCUGACGUGCUGCCUGUAACUCUGCUCAGGGCAGCUCCGCACAGCUCUCUCUGACUGCUGAUGUCACUUCCUGCAAAACAAGCCGCAUGGAGCUGCCCUGAGCAGUUACAGGCAGCUCAGUGAGGCUGUGUUUGGAGACAGGCACACUGAGGGGCAGCCUAGUGGGGUCUUUGGAAGGCGCUUUAGCUGUCUUUCAGUGUGCCCUGCAAGGGCGAUUAUAUUUUAGCAGCAGGGGCCCCGCGGAAGGCUGUGCGGGCCCUUUACUAAGUGCAGGCUGGCUGGGGAGAUUGUUUAACUCCCCAGCUCAGCCAUUACUGCACUGCAGCAGUGGCCGGGCCCCCAGAGCCUCGGGCCCUCGGUCCAUGACCGAUUUGCCUGAGUGCUCAGUCUGCACCUGCACCAACUGUUGUCCCCUUCUCACCAAGCUGCUUGGCGAUGGUCUUGUAGCCCAUUCCAGCCUUGUGUAGGUUAACAAUCUUGUCCCUGACAUCCUUGGACAGCUCUUUGGUCUUGGCCAUGGUGGAGAGUUUGGAAUCUGAUUGAUUGAUUGAUUGAUUGCUUUAAGAAAGUGCUCCUAAUCUCAGCUUGUUACCUGUAUAAAAGACACCUGGGAGACAGAAAUCUUGCUGAUUGAUAGGGGAUCAUAUACUUAUUUCACUCAUUGACAUGCAAAUCAAUUUAAAACCUUUUGACAUGUUUUUCGGGAUUUUUUUUUUUGUUAUUCUGACUCUCACUGUUAAAAUACACCUACCAUUAAAAUUCUAGACUGAUCAUUUCUUUGUCAGUGUGCAAACAGCAGGGGAUCAAAUACUUUUUCCCCUCACUGUAUGCAAUUUUACGUAAAAAACAAACAAAACCAAAAAACAACAAACAUUCAUGGACCUUACAUACAACUUUCUGUAAGCAUGAUAUGGGGGUUGACAGUAAUUUAGAAAAUCCCACCUAUCAAUAUGCCAAGUGGUGAAUUAGCAUCAAACAGAAGGGCAACAAAGUCAAAAUUCUGCACAUUAGAUGCUGCUGACAGACUGCUAUUAAUGGACCAAAUAGAAAAAAAACAAUUCUACUUUUUCUACUUUCACAACUAGAGAUUCUGUGGUGGGAUAAAAUGUGGUUACCUCGCAGAAUUUGCUGACAUUGAUUUAUUCAGAGAACAAAUACAUGAAACAUAUUGUCUCUCUAUUGGGGUGAAAAGGGAUAUGAAGAAAAAGGGUUUAUAGAUAGCUUGAUAACUAAUAGACAGGUGUUUUUGUUUGUUUUGUGGAAUGUUGAAGUUAUUAGUUUUAGAGAAAAAAGGGUAAAUGAGAUCAGGAAGUGAUAUAGAUAUAUAUAAACUGAACAAUUGGAAACCAAAGCUGCAUAGUGACUUGACUGCUUUUAUUCAACAAUUUGGAAUUUAUUAGUACAUAAAUAGUAGCUCGAUGUGCUGCUAUAAAGUGCAAGAAAAGGAAAAAAUAUGUUCCAUAACAUUUAUACAAAUAACUAUUUUGUAUUAUUUAGACACUACUGAUUAUGUAAAGGAACACUCCAAGUACCAUGACCAUCACAGCUUGUUGUAGUGGUUAUGGUGCGAGGAGUGUCCUGCAUCCUCCAAGGGUAACUUGUCGUUUCAGAUACGUCUGACAACUUACCAGGGUUCCGCUGAGCACCAGCAGCAGCAGUCUGUUUCAUCAGAAUCAAGUGUGCACCAUUAAACAGGGCUAUGAUUAUUGACUGAGAGAAUCAGCAGAGUGCUUUCAGCCAAUGAGACUGGCCUUGGGUUGGCCAGGCUUUGCUCAUUGUGGACAUCCAGCUUCUCCAACAAGAGAAGCUGGGUCUACAGUGUAGGUGCCUGGGGACCCAGAUAAGUUGUCAAACCAUUUUUACUUUCUCAGAGCAAAUUAGCACCAUAACCACUACAGCAUGAUGCUUGAAAAAUUCCCUUAAGCUAAAAAUGUAUAUAACUGUCAGUAUGAUGACACUUUAUAUCUAUAAACCAGUGUAUUAUAUGUGAUCUCUCACACUUUGAUGAACAACUAUUAUUCUUACAAAUAGUUUGUAACAAUUUAGGUUUCAGCCUAAUACUAAAUAAAGUUUGGUCUGGUUGGUGAAGGAAUACAUUAAUUGUGUUUGUUCUCAGCAAAGAGGUAUUGCCAGAUAAUCAGUAAAAAGAUGGGUACAUUCUGACCCACCUAUGUUUAACUCAUAGGAGUCAACGAUGAACAUUUUUAAUCAUACUUUUUUGUUUCUUUAGGUUAAUCCUAUGUUUGAGAGUCACCUGAAGCCUUACUUUCAAAGUGCCAAAGCAAAGCUGUAAAAAACAAGCAGUUUAUGAAGCAGUUAAUUCUGCAAAUGAACAUAUUGUACAUGGUAUUGUAAUGUAUCUUGCAGGAUGUUUAUGUACAUUAAAGAAAUAUAAUUUCGAUUUCAUUUUAGCCAACUAAAUCACAUGUCAAUCUUACAUUAUUCUUUGUACGUGAAACACAAUCCUUUAUUUACAAGAAACGACUUCAAAAGAAAAGUAACAUUUGGAGCCUCCAUUCACAGGGAUUUAAAUACAUUUGGAAAAAAAUAAAAUAAAAAUAAGCAAAUAAAAGUGGGUCUAUUAAAUGAAAAAAAAAAAAUACAAAGAAAGUAAAGCAAUAUAUUUGCAUAUUUAAAAUUACACAAAACCAAACUCUUUAGUAACAAACAUUGAAUUCUGCAUUUAUUAAAUUUAAAAUAAAACUUCAAUAAGACUGGAUUUUGAAUACUGUAGUUUUUUAGUUUAUUGAAUUCUAUUGUUUGACUUGAUAAAGGCCUGGUAGGGUCAAAACGUUGCUGCUUUUACAACAAUAAAGCUGCUAUUUGUGUUAUCCCGGAGUGCCUGAACUGUUAUUUAUUCUGCAUAUUUUCGAAUUAGGCGUGACCAGCCCUAGCUUUAGAGCAUCUGGGUUAUUUGGUAAGUGCG